rnacentral:lncRNA from 1 species
AAUAAGGUGCUAAUCCAUGAAAUUACACUUUACACUUUGUCUAAGUCGUUAGUGGAGCGUGUGUGGUUAACCGGCACACUAACUUGGACUUAACAAGGUAGGUAAAGGGUGACUUAAUAUUUAUCAUAGUAUCGAUGGAGCGUGUGUGGUUAACCGGCACAUCGAUUGAGGGGUAAUUUAUUAAGGGUACCAAGUGAUUUGCAUGGUUACUUCACACCUUGUUUUGUGAUCCUCGGCAUCCCAGUCACAAAACCUGAAGGGCACACUCGAGAUUGAAACAUGCCUUUGAAAAGUUCAAUGAAUCUCAAAGAUCUAGGAGUUUCAAAACCAAUUAAAACCUAAUAAUACAUUUCGUUUAUCUUGGUGGAAAUUGGUGAAUCGUCAUUCACCUACCUUCAAAUAUUUUAUAGCUUGGAUUACGGCAUACCUCUUCUAAGUUAUAAAAUAGUUUGUUGGGUCCUAGCCUUAAUAUUUCAUAUUGGGUGUCAUAUUAAGGACUUUAAAUCAACUAUCUUGAAUAUCUCCCAAAAGAUGUCUGGUUUAGACACCUAUGAUCUUCCCAAAUCUCUUGAAACAAGGUUUCCUAAUGAAGAUGAUGUCCCAUGGAUAUCAUACUUCUUCACCUCUUCAAAUUAUUCUCCCUAACCCACAAGUUCUUGAAAAGUUUAAGGUCACUCAGGCCCUAUUGGCAAGGCAAGGUCUAGGUGUGGUCACAUCUUGGAGAUGUAGUCACAUAUUGACAAGCCGGGAGAGUUGGGUGUCAAAGUCUUGAGAAAGUUGGUGGUUCAACCACUUUCUAAGUCACAUAGUGAGUUCCUUUGGGACACCUAUGAAACAGACUAUGACAAGACCCUUAAUGAUCUUAUCUAUUUGCUAAGAUCAACUUCCUAAAACUUUAUGGACAUUGACAAUGAUGACAUUGGAUAUCCAGUAAAGCAUUCUCUUCCCAAUGGAAAGGGAUCGGCUAUAGUCAACUCGGUUGACCAAAUGGUAAAGAGAAAAGCUAAGUCUGUGAUAGUCCUGUGUACCAUUAUCAAAGGGUCCAUAUGUUUGUAUUGCCAAAGAAAGGGCAUUGGUUGCGAAGCUGCCAAAUUUACCUAAGGAUGUUAAAGUCAAUAAGUUUGACUCUACUUCAGGUAAAAUCCACUAUCUAACUCUGUUAAGUUUCUAUUCUGAGAUUCUUGAUACAUGAUGUGACCGGGUCGCAUGGUGAUGGUUUAAGAAUCAAAGGAAAGUGAAGAAACUUAAAGGAAGAAUAUGCUGAAUCUGAUCGCAUAGAUGGAUUUCUAUCGCAUAGUUUGAAAAAUCGGAUUCUUGAGCUACUUCUUAGGAGUUAUGAGAUAUUGCUUAGGAAUAGAUAACAACAAGUUUUCAUAUGGAUUGUAAGGAUAGUUUUUCCGCAAAGUUUUAAAAUAAAAGGAAAUUUUUGAUUUUAUUUAUUUUAAAAUAUCCUUACAAUGGCAUCUGUGGAAAUUUUUGUUGCUUAUAAGAUUCCAUUAGUAGCAAGAGUGGAAGUAUGAAAUUGAUUCUUUCAUUUGUGGUAAUGUCUAAAUUUACCAAAUAAGGAAAGAUUCUCAUCACCCAAGUUUCAAUUGGACCGGAACUUGGAAUCAUGCAAGUUGUAUAGCAUGAUGAAUGAGAACUUUCAAGUUUUGGAAAAUUAAGACUAAUUACUUGUUCACAUGGAUGUGUGAGUCAAGUAAAGGACUUAGGGAUCGAGUACACAUUCUUGUGCACUGAUUAAGUCCACCACUAAAGAUCGAUAAGAAGAAUCAAAUAAGGCAGAAGGAUAAAAGUUUCUCAAAUCUGAAAAGAUGGGAGAGUACUUUAGUAUCAGUUUUGUGAUCAUCUUAAUGAUUAAGAAACCAUAUCAAAAUUAGUUCUCUAAGGAAAUCUUAGUGCAUUCUUAUGACUAAGAAGAGGAACUUGAAUUGUUGAAAUGGUUAAAUCAAGAAGAUGAGUCAUACUUCGUUCCAAUACAAGUCUUAGAGUCAUACUCCAAGAUUGUCAUUUGAGUGACAUGUCUUAAAGAAGGUUUAAAACACUUGUCAAAUGUAAGAGUAAAAGUUUUCUACUCUUGUACAUUUGAAAUUGGUAAGUUGUGAUGUUUUGGAUAAAACAAAGACCAACUUAGGCCAAUUGGGUAAAGUGUUUUUCUUGAUUAGAAUCCGCACUAUCUCUUGGAUGUUUGACAAGGGAGUCUUAUAUGUCAAGAGGACAGUGGGAGUCUUAAAGGUCUUGAAAGUCUCAAGAAAUAAUCAAGAAUAAAACCUAAAGUUCUUCACUAGCACACGACUUGAGGUUCAUAACCUAUCGUGUUGACAUAUUCUGUGCCCAUUCCAGUUAAAGUUGGUUUUGCAUAUGAGUUCUUAGAGUUCUCAAUUUGUUGCACAACAACUUGGAAGCAAUGGCAGGCCCUUGAGCUGCCAGGUGGCAAGAAGUUAAGAUUGAGUUCAAUCCAUAUGGUUUUGGAUUUGUCAUUAUCUUUGUCUUGUGAUUAUGGUUUGACAAAUUCAUAUGGGUAGGAACUCAUACACCAUAUAAAUCUAAGUGUCAUAAGGUUUCUCUCCGAUUCAUGAAAAUGAUGGUGAGGAAACGCUUUCACUAAGUAGAUUUUACGAAGAUAUCAAUUGUGUUAUUUGCAUUUUCAAAAGUCGUUAGUGGAGCGCGUGUGGUUAACCGGCACACUAACAUGGACUUGUGAGAAAUGGCAAAUGCCUAAGCAAUUGAGACCAUGAUUACGGUAUCCCUUUUCAUGGUUCUUGAAAUUGCUUAGACACACAGGUGAGCUAUCUACGGAAAGGGUGUAUGAAUCUAAAUUUCAGACUGUCCAGCUGAUUUCUGAGUACAUGUCAAAGCUAGUGGGAGCAUAAGUGUUAUGCUAAUAAUCAUCAUGUUAGUGGGAGCAUGAUAAUUAUGAUAAGUAUUGCAAGUUAGCAAUGUUAAUUAUAGAAAACAAAAGUUUCAAUUGGGAAAAAGUUGUUUUGCUAUAAUUAAGGGAGAGGAAAUUAUGCUUCAUCUCAAAUCUAUAAGCUUAGAUCGUGAGGUUUUAAUCAUUUAGUCAAGGAUAUAUAUGAAUUUCAUGUUGGAAUGGCUCAACAUAAGGAAAUUCUGUAUAUGGGUCCAUUAUUUGCGUUCUAAAAUUCGAUUAUGAUUACGGCAUCCCUUUUCAUAAUCUGAAUUAUGAGAACUUGGCAAAUUGAAAUGGAAAUAUUAUAGCAAAAGACUGGUUUAGUCUUUAUGUAAGACAUCAUGAAUCGUGUCCCAUAUGCUUCGGAUAUAGGAUCGAUUACAUGUGCUAUAUUCAUCCGUUCUAAAAUUUUCCAAAUGCCUGGGGCAUUAAGAAGGGAAAAGGUUUAGAACUGGAUAUGACUAAAAGGAUUAAACAAUUGUCGAGGACAAUCUAAGGUUUACCAAAGAUUGGUUACUCAAGGACAAUUGGAAGUAUAGUGAUAAUUCUGGAAGGACCAUAUUGACAUAAUCUGUAAGGAGGCAACUCUUGUUCAGAAGUGAUAGUCAAAAUGGAAUCUGGAAAUGUUUCAAAGUUAGAAUUUUCAAUCUGUGUAAGAUUAAGGAAACUUAAUGCAAGAAGGAUAUUUCCAAGGAGUUGAUCUCCUUUGGAAUACUCUGUAAUGAUUGUUGCCAAGUCUUUGUGACUUUGUGCAUAAUCAUUACAAGAGGAUCAAUGCAUAUAAGUUUAGAAUCUAACAGAUUUCAGUAAAUGGCAUGAAUUUGGAAUUCUUGCAUUUGCAGUAAGGAUUUGGGAGUGUGAAAAGAGAAUCAUUGAAGUUAUGUUCAAUUGAUCUAGUUCACAAAGUAAAGAUCAUAGACAAACAUAGUAUGCAUACUUGGUGUGUGGCAUGACUAGUGUUUAAGAAAACAUAGUGUACAUGCUUGGAGCAUGGGACAACUAUUGUUUUAAAUUCAAGAAUAAAGUUGAUAGCUGAAACAGUAUACAAUGAAUAAUGUGUAAUCAUAUGGUGAUAAAUAAAAGGUGUUUUAUUUAUGUUCAAAGGGUUGAUACCAUAUUGGAUUCAAUUAUUAUUGUGUUUCACUUUGCAUGUUUUGACUUCCCGAAUAAACUAGGUUAUUCUUCCGGAAUGACUAAGUUAUUCAAACCAUCCACAGUCGGUCAUAUGUUGGAAGUAGAUAUGAAUUAAGACUGUCAUGGGUUGGCUUGUAGAGGUCUAAGGUGUUGGACAAAGGGCUACAACACUCAUGAGUGCUCAUAAGUUCUGAGUAUUGGAUUCAACCCGCGCUCAUUGGAAUCACUUCAUGGAUUUUAUCACGAGUGAUCAUGAGACGAUAAUAUCUUAUAUUCUUCAAACCUAGAGAUAUGAGUUGUUACUAUGAGUUGGUUGUACAUUGAUUGCACGAAAACGCAUUUGGUAACUCGGUGCUAUAAAACGUGCCUUUGUGUAUGAUUCAACAAGUAGUAGAACAAGCCAUAUGAGUCGAAGUUUAUCCAUUCCUUUUACCUUCGGGAUAAAAGCGAUAUCUGUGGGCCCCUCGAUGAUUUGAUGAUGACAAAUGGAAGUGCUCGGCCGGGCCAGGACUGAUUUGAUUUGUUCAAUUAGUCAGUCGUCAUAAAUCGGAAAUCGGGAAACAACAAAUGGACAGAGAGAAUGAUUAUAAUCCAUGUCUCAGUCCAUAUGAUAUCUAGAAUGGAGGAAUAUAUGAUCCCUUAUCUAAUGGACAAGUUCGUUGACAAGAUCAGAGUUCGACAGCAGCUUUAAGAGCUACGAUUGCCAGUUAGGUUUGAAGUCAUACGCAAUAAUAGUUUUAGACUUAUCCAAGUGGGAGACUGUUGGAUUAAUGUCUAAGUCCAUAACUAUAUUUGGUAUGUACUUGACCCGACCCGGCAUGGUCCAUUUGGGUUGCACUUCACCGACACAAUUUAUAUGGAUAAUCUUUUGAGAAUAGUAUGUUUAUGAUUAAUAUUAAUAUAUUAUAAGUUCUAAUAUAUUAAUAUGGAAUCAUAUUAUUUAAUUAGUAUUGAUCAAGAAUUAAUUUAUAAUUAAUUAAGUGAUCAAAAGGAACUAAUUAAAUAUGGACUCUUAUAUAUAUGGAAUGGGCCAAGUUCAUUUAGGUUGGGCUAAGCUUUCAUGGAUAGUCCAUGGAGUGUUUAACCCAUGGAUCCUAGGAAAUGAAAGGUCAUGGGUAUUAGGGUUUAACCCUAAUCCUCCAUACUAUAUAAAGAUGUCUUUGGUUGGUGAAAUUGGCACUAGUGUGGAUACACUAAAGAAGGGCUAGCCAAUUUCACUAGAGAGAACCAAGUAAUCAUAUUCUCUAAAGUAUUCCAAGGUGUCUUGGUGAUUUGUGAUUCCACUUGAGGCUUCCACACUAUUGGGGCUAAGCUCUUAAAGCUUGAAGACAUCAAGCUACAUCAAGAGGUAUGUAUUCUAUCUUGUUACAUUCAUAGUUUUUGUAUGCUAGAUUAGGAUAAUACCUUGGAUGUUCUUAUUUGCAUGUAUAAUAGAGAAAACAUAGAUCCAAGGUAUUUAGGGUUGCAUGUACACUUAGGAAGUGUUAGAAUGCUCAAAACCCAACAACUUCCACCGAAGCUUUCAAUAGCAGAAGGUCCACAUAAGUCGAUGUGCAAGAGUUCAAGAGCUUCAAUUAUCUUUGUAUUGAUUCGUGUAGGAUGGCUCUUUCUGCUUUGUUUGCCCAUUUCACAUGCUGCACACAGAUGUUCCUUGUCGAACUUGAGCAGAGGAAGUCCUCGAACGUGAUCACCAAGCACCAACUUAUUAAUGUCUUUGAAAUUCAGGUGCGAUAGUCGUCGAUGCCAUAACCAGCUUUCAUUUGUAUUUGCCCUUGACAGAAAACAUAUUGCUGGUUUUCCUCAUAUGGGGUUGAAAUUUAGGGGUACAUCUCUCCCUUACGUUCAGAUUUCAAUAGAACCGUCUUGGAUUGUUUGUCAAUUAUCUCAAAGCCCUCAUCAUCAAAUGAUACUUUUAGACCUGUGCCCACAACUAAUUGUGACACACUAAUGAGGUUAUGCUGCAAUCCUUCCACAUAUGCCACUUUUCGAAUCGAGAAAUCUCCAUUGGUUAUCAUACCGUAUCCCUUGAUUGUGCCAUAGGAGUUAUUUCCAUAUUUCACAGGCCCACCAUCUUUCAGGGACCAAAACUCCCUUAGCUCUUCCUUCCUUCUUGUCAUGUGACGAGAGCAGCCACUGCCUAUAUAUCAUUCCUCAUCGAACUGCUCGUCACUAAAUACCUGCAAAUUCAGGCAGAUUUAGGAACCCAAAGUCGCUUGGGUCCUGGUGAGUCAUUCACAGAAAAAGGAAUUACAGUAGAAAUAUCAACCAUAUAUGUUCUUUUUACUAAAGUGGUUUGAUCUUUUCUUUUAAUUGUAUACACUUUGAUUUUGGUUUUAUCUUGUUUAAAUUUUAGUGCGUUGGUUGGUUUGUUAGAUGCCAUUUGGCUCCUAGGAUUAGUUGAUGAUUUCUUAUUAUGGAACUUAGAAUCAGAUGUUAGCUUUCCCUUUCCUUUGAUGUCCUUCAAAGAAUUUUCCUUGCUCUGGGACCUGGAUGGACUGAAACUAGGUUUGGGACCGAAACUGGGUUUAGGACCGAAUGUUGACUUUCGGUUCUGUGACUUGGAAUAGUAGGAACUUGGACUGAAAUUUUCCUUUCCUUUAUCCGAUGAAGCUCUCUUAGAAGGGACAUGAUUUGGAUUUUGAGAUUUCCAGUAACUUUUUCGCUCUUUCAGAUUCUUUGCAUAUCUUUGAUUUCUUAGGCGUUUCUGUUCAACUAGCUCCUUUUGUGAUUUGUGGAUGUUAGAGCUGACCUUUGGCUUCUCCUUUUUGGUUGUUUUGACCGGAACUUUCUGUUCUUCCUUUGGUUCUUCAGGGAUGUCUUUGGUUCCACUUGUGCUUGGUUUGUCAAAACUCAAAGGUUUAUUUAUGGGUUCUACAACGUAUCUUCCUUUAACCCUCCAAGAAGUCUGCUCAGACAAGCCUACAGUUUCGUCUACAUUAUCAAUAGGAGCUGACUAGAAGUAUUCAUCACAUCCUUCAGCAUUAUCAUUUUCGACCAUGAUUCUUAAUUCUAACGUCUGCUUAGGAGUGACCCCUAUAACUGCAUAAACCUGAUUUGGCACAGUCUGAACCUUUUGAUAAACCAUAGCCUUUUCUUUGAGUUUCUUUUGCUUAUCUUUUGCCAGUCUAGCAAAUUCAACUGAAUUUUCUAAGAUUAGUGGUUUCUCAUUCUCAGUUUCGCUCUUCAUAAACUCAGAGCAAUCAACUACGUCUUCUACAAAUAUCUCACUCAUCUCACUUUCUUCAUCAAAUUUAGACGUAUUUUCUAAGUCUAUUUUAUUUUUAGAAGUUAAUUUGGCAUUGGAUUGGUCAAUUGAGUGAAUAGUGUCUGACUUAAUUUUCAACCUAUCAUUUUCAUCUAAUAUAUCUUUUAACAUACAUUUGUGUUCCUUUGAAUCAAUGAAGGUUUCUAUUUUAUCCAGUCCAAUUUUGUAGGACAUGGAUGUCUCUUUUGAUGAUACUUCUGAUUCACAUUCUGCUAUGACCUCGUCUUCCUUAAAUUCAAGAAAUGGCAAAAUCAUCUUCUGAAUUUUCUUUCCUAUCUCACAACUUAAAUGCAAUUGAGCUAUAUUAGUAUAUAAACGCUUAGCAAUUAAACAAAAAACAUUCAUUUGUUUUAAAAACUUUAGAUUGUCUCUUUGCAAAUAAAUACUUUCAUCCCUAGCCCUAACUAACUCCUGCUCCUUCAGCUCUAUCCACAUUCUUCUCUCCUCUCUCUUCAUUGUCACCCUGCUGAUUUGGUCAGUUAGGUUAGAAUUUGUUAACCAAGUUUGCAUGAGACUACCGCUUAGAUUAGAAAAUUUAAGUUUUAGUUCAUUUAAUUCUUCUUCAUAUUCUGUUAUUGGAACUUUAAGAGAUUCUAGGAUAGAUUGUACCUUUUUGAUCAAACGAUCACAAUCGUUGAUCUGCUCACUGACUGGCUUUGCUGCAAAACAUUUGUUUGUAGUCAUGUUCGGUUCCAUAACUACACUUUCGGUUGAAGAACCAGCUGUGACAAUCAAGCACUUUCCAGCCGAACCUACUUCCUUUGCUACAUAAGCCUUUCCAUGAGUAGGCUUUCUCACCUCUUCAUCUUCAGAUUUGGUUGACCACUCUUAAACGCCACCGAACUCGUCUUCAUUUGCAUUCUCGUGUACAAUCAAAGCAUUCAUAAAACUGUUAGUUGCUUUCUUUUUCUUGAUCUCUUCCAGCUUGCGCAUAUAGUAUGCCUCAUCAUCUUCUCCGUCUCUUUUCUUAGCCAUUUUCCUUAGCAUGCAAUCUUUGGCAAAGUGGUUCUUGUCGUGGCAGUAACUGCAGUCGUAUCCUGAGUCUCCUGCAAGCUUGCUCUCCUUCUUUUCUUCAUCCUUUUGAGAGGUGAUCUUCGCUUCAUCCUUCAACUUCUCAGAGCUGUAACUUCCCUGCCAGUUACGAUUCUUGUUGACGGGAAAUUUUCUCCUUGCAACUUCUUUGGAUUGGUGACCAUCAUAGCAUACUCCUCGCUUGUAAGGUCACACUUCGACAUAUCAGCUUCUUGUUCUUCUUCUUCCUUAAUACUUUUUCCAUUAGAGACAAGAGCCAGCGAUCCCACACAGGAAACCACUUUCGCUUCUUUGGUUACUACACUUUCAUGGGACUUACGUAUUCUUACAAGUUUCGCUAGAGAGUAAGACUUAAACUAUUCAUGCGCUUUUACAGUAGAAACAACAGCCAUCCAUUGUGUUCUGAGCCCGUUCAUGAAAGUUACUUUCUACUCAAUCAACUUCCUCUCUAUUCCAUGCUUAAUCAUCUUACUUAGGAGAUGAUUGAACCGAUUGAAAGUUUGUAUGAGCUUUUUAUUGGGUUUUGAGCAUUCUAACACUCCUAUGGUGUACAUGCAACCCUAUAAACCUUGGAUCUAUGUUUUCUCUAUUAUACAUGCAAAUAAGAACUUUCCAAGGCUUUAAUCCUAACUAGCAUAUUAUGAAGCUCUUAUACUACAGGGUACUAGUUAGAUGACAAACCUUUUGAUGUAGCUUGAUGUCUUCAAGCUUUAAGAGCUUAGCCCCAAUAGUGUGGAAGCCUCAAGUGGAAUCACAAAUCACCAAAACACCUUGGAAGACUUCAGAGAAUAUGGAUACUUGGUUCUCUCUAGUGAAAUCGGCUAGCCCUUCUUAGUGUACCCACACUAGUGCCAAUUUCACCAACCAAUGACAUCUUUAUAUAGUAUGGAGACUAGGGUUAAACCCAUGUCCUUUCAUUUCAUAUGAUCCAUGGGUUAAACACUCCAUGGACUAUCCAUGAAAGCUUAGCCCAACCUAAAGGAACUUGGCCCAUUCCAUAUAUAUAAGAGUCCAUAUUUAAUUAGUUCAUUUUGAUCACUUAAUUAAUUCUAAAUUAAUUCUUGAUCAAUACUAAUUAAAUAAUAUGAUUCCAUAUUAAUAUAUUAGAACUUAUAAUAUAUUAAUAUUAAUCAUAAAUAUACUAUUCUCAAAAGAUUAUCCAUAUAAAUUGUGUCGGUGAAGUGCAACCCAAAUGGACCAUGCCGGGUCGGGUCAAGUACAUACCAAAUAUAGUUAUGGACUUAGACAUUAAUCCAACAGUCUCCCACUUGGAUAAGUCUAAAACUAUUAUUGCGUAUGACUUCAAACCUAACUGGCAAUCGUAGCUCUUAAAGCCGCUGUCGAACUCUGAUCUUGUCAACGAACUUGUCCAUUAGAUAAGGGAUCAUAUAUUCCUCCAUUCUAGAUAUCAUAUGGACUGAGACAUGGAUUAUAAUCAUUCUCUCUGUCCAUUUGUUGUUUCCCGAUUUCCGAUUUAUGACGACUGACUAAUUGAACAAAUCAAAUCAGUCCUGGCCCGGCCGAGCACUUCCAUUUGUCAUCAUCAAAUCAUCGAGGGGCCCACAGAUAUCGCUUUUAUCCCGAAGGUAAAAGGAAUGGAUAAACUUCGACUCAUAUGGCUUGUUCUACUACUUGUUGAAUCAUACACAAAGGCACGUUUUAUAGCACCGAGUUACCAAAUGCGUUUUCGUGCAAUCAAUGUACAACCAACUCAUAGUAACAACUCAUAUCUCUAGGUUUGAAGAAUAUAAGAUAUUAUCGUCUCAUGAUCACUCGUGAUAAAAUCCAUGAAGUGAUUCCAAUGAGCGCGGGUUGAAUCCAAUACUCAGAACUUAUGAGCACUCAUGAGUGUUGUAGCCCUUUGUCCAACACCUUAGACCUCUACAAGCCAACCCAUGACAGUCUUAAUUCAUAUCUACUUCCAACAUAUGACCGACUGUGGAUGGUUUGAAUAACUUAGUCAUUCCGGAAGAAUAACCUAGUUUAUUCGGGAAGUCAAAACAUGCAAAGUGAAACACAAUAAUAAUUGAAUCCAAUAUGGUAUCAAAACUUUGAACAUAAAUAAAACACCUUUUAUUUAUCACCAUAUGAUUACACAUUAUUCAUUGUAUACUGUUUCAGCUAUCAACUUUAUUCUUGAAUUUAAAACAAUAGUUGUCCCAUGCUCCAAGCAUGUACACUAUGUUUUCUUAAACACUAGUCAUGCCACACACCAAGUAUGCAUACUAUGUUUGUCUAUGAUCUUUACUUUGUGAACUAGAUCAAUUGAACAUAACUUCAAUGAUUCUCUUUUCACACUCCCAAAUCCUUACUGCAAAUGCAAGAAUUCCAAAUUCAUGCCAUUUACUGAAAUCUGUUAGAUUCUAAACUUAUAUGCAUUGAUCCUCUUGUAAUGAUUAUGCACAAAUUCACAAAGACUUGGCAACAAUCAUUACAGAGUAUUCCAAAGGAGAUCAACUCCUUGGAAACAUCCUUCUUGCAUUAAGUUUCCUAGUCAUACAGAUUGAAUACUUUCUAACUUUGAAGCAUUUCCAUAUUCCAUUUUGACUAUCACUUCUGAACAAGAGUUGCCUCCUUACAGAUUAUGUCAAUAUGGUCCUUCCAGAAUUAAUACUAUACUUCCAAAUGUCUUUUUGUGUAACCAAUCUUUGGUAAACCUUAGAUUAUCCUUCAAUUGUUUAAUCCUUUUAGUCAUAUCCAGUUCUAAACCUUUUCCCUUCUUAAUGCCCCAGGCAUUUGGAAAAUUUUAGAACGGAUGAAUAUAGCACAUGUAAUCGAUCCUAUAUCCGAAGCAUAUGGGACACGAUUCAUGAUGUCUCACAUAAAGACUAAACCAGUCUUUUGCUAUAAUAUUUCCAUUUCUAUUUGCCAAGUUCUCAUAAUUCAGAUUAUAAAAAGGGAUGCCGUAAUCAUAAUCGAAUUUUAGAACACAAAUAAUGGACCCAUAUAUAGAAUUUUCUUAUGUUGAUCCAUUCCAAUAUAACAUUCAUAUAUAUUCUUGACUAAAUACUAUUAAAACCUCAAUCUAANNNNNNNNNNNNNNNNNNNNNNNNNNNNNNNNNNNNNNNNNNNNNNNNNNNNNNNNNNNNNNNNNNNNNNNNNNNNNNNNNNNNNNNNNNNNNNNNNNNNGGUGUGAUCACAUCUUGGAGAUGAAGUCAUAUGCUGACAAGCCGGCAGAGUUGGGUGUCAAAGUCUUGAUAAAGUUACUGGUUCAAUCACUUUCUAAGUCACAUAGUGAGUUCCUUUGGGACUCCUAUGAAAUAGACUAUGACAAGACCCUUAAUGAUCUUAUCUAUUUGCUUGGUGCUGAUAAAUCAGAAAUGAUUUAGUGUACUAGUAAAGCAAAUUUGAUUAGGAGAUCAACUUCCCAAAACUUUAUGGACAAAGACAAUAGUGACAUAGGAAAUCCAAAAAUGCAUUCUCUUCCCAAUGGAAAGGGAUUGGCCAUAGUCAACUUGGUUGACCAAAUGGUAAAGAGAAAGGCUAAGUCUGAGAUAGUCCCAUGUACUAUUACCUAAGGGUCCAUAUGUUUCUAUUGCCAAAGGAAGGGGCUUUGGUUAUGAAGUUGCAAAAGUUACCUAAGGAUGAUAAAGUCAAUAAGUUUGACUUUAUUUCAGGUAAAGUCCACUGUCUAACUCUAUUAAGUUCCUACUUAGAGAUUCUUAUUACAUGAUGUGCCAAAGGAAGUAUAUGCUGAUUUUGAUCGUGAAGAUGGAUUUCAAUCGCAUGGUUCGGUGAUCAGAAUUUUGAGCACGUGCUUAAGAGUUAUGAUAGAUUGCUUAGGAAUAGAUGACAACAAGUUUUCAUAUACAUCUGCAUUGUAAGGAUUAGUUUUUCCGCAAAGGUUUAAAAUAAAAGAAAAGUUUUUAAUUUUAUUUAUUUUAAAAUAUCCUUACAAUGGCAUUUGGGAAAAAGAAUGUUGUUUAUAUGAUUCCAUUGAUAGCAAUAUUAGAAAUAUGAAUUUGAUUCUUUCAUUUAUGGUAGUGUCUAAAUUUAACAAAUAAGGAAAGAUUCUCAUCACCCAAGUUUCAGUUGGAUAGAAACUUGGAAUCAUGUAAGUUGUAUAGUAUGAUGAAUGAGAACUUUCGAGCUUUGGAAAAUUAAGACUAACUGCUUGUUCACAUGGAUGUGUGAGUCAAGAGAAGGACUAAGGGAUCAAGUACACUUUCUUGUGCACUUGUCAAAGUCCACCACAAAAGAUGGAUAAGACUAUUCGUCAUGAUUUACUAAGGUUUAGUAAAUAUGAUUAUACUUACAAGCUUAAGUAUAAUUCUGAAACAUUGGAAAAAAUUCAAUGUAUGACAGAACGAAUAAGAAGAAUCAAAUUAGGNUGAAAAGAUGGGAGAGUACUUUAGUAUCAUGUUUUAAGAUCAUGUUAAUGAUUUUGAGACCUUAUCACAAUUCAUCCUCUAAGUGCAUUCUGAUAGCUAAAAAGAGGAGCUAUGAAUUGUUGAAGUGGUCAAAUCAAGAUGAUGAGUCAUACUUCGUUUCAAAAACAAGUCUUAGAGUAAUACUCCAAGACUGUAAGUUGAGUGACAUAUCUUAAAGAAGGUUUAAAACACUUGUCAAAUGUAAGAGUAAAAGUUUUCUACUCAUGUACAUUUGAAAUUGGUAAGUUGUGACGUUUUGGAUUAAACAAAGACCAACUAAGGCUAAUUGUGUUAAGUGUAUGUCUUGANNNNNNNNNNNNNNNNNNNNNNNNNNNNNNNNNNNNNNNNNNNNNNNNNNNNNNNNNNNNNNNNNNNNNNNNNNNNNNNNNNNNNNNNNNNNNNNNNNNNNNNNNNNNNNNNNNNNNNNNNNNNNNNNNNNNNNNNNNNNNNNNNNNNNNNNNNNNNNNNNNNNNNNNNNNNNNNNNNNNNNNNNNNNNNNNNNNNNNNNNNNNNNNNNNNNNNNNNNNNNNNNNNNNNNNNNNNNNNNNNNNNNNNNNNNNNNNNNNNNNNNNNNNNNNNNNNNNNNNNNNNNNNNNNNNNNNNNNNNNNNNNNNNNNNNNNNNNNNNNNNNNNNNNNNNNNNNNNNNNNNNNNNNNNNNNNNNNNNNNNNNNNNNNNNNNNNNNNNNNNNNNNNNNNNNNNNNNNNNNNNNNNNNNNNNNNNNNNNNNNNNNNNNNNNNNNNNNNNNNNNNNNNNNNNNNNNNNNNNNNNNNNNNNNNNNNNNNNNNNNNNNNNNNNNNNNNNNNNNNNNNNNNNNNNNNNNNNNNNNNNNNNNNNNNNNNNNNNNNNNNNNNNNNNNNNNNNNNNNNNNNNNNNNNNNNNNNNNNNNNNNNNNNNNNNNNNNNNNNNNNNNNNNNNNNNNNNNNNNNNNNNNNNNNNNNNNNNNNNNNNNNNNNNNNNNNNNNNNNNNNNNNNNNNNNNNNNNNNNNNNNNNNNNNNNNNNNNNNNNNNNNNNNNNNNNNNNNNNNNNNNNNNNNNNNNNNNNNNNNNNNNNNNNNNNNNNNNNNNNNNNNNNNNNNNNNNNNNNNNNNNNNNNNNNNNNNNNNNNNNNNNNNNNNNNNNNNNNNNNNNNNNNNNNNNNNNNNNNNNNNNNNNNNNNNNNNNNNNNNNNNNNNNNNNNNNNNNNNNNNNNNNNNNNNNNNNNNNNNNNNNNNNNNNNNNNNNNNNNNNNNNNNNNNNNNNNNNNNNNNNNNNNNNNNNNNNNNNNNNNNNNNNNNNNNNNNNNNNNNNNNNNNNNNNNNNNNNNNNNUGCAUGCACACUUAGGAAGUGUUAGAUUGCUCAAAAUCCAACAAAUACGACCUUCCAGUCGAUGUGUCUCAGCGGGACCCUCCAAUCCCGUAGCUCGUUGGACCCUCUGGUCCGGUCAUAGCUCGUUGGGCCCUCCAGUCCGGUCUAUAACAUCAUACACAUACAUAUAUCACAUAGCACAUAAACAUAUACGUAAUACAUAAGACCCUCUGGUCAACACAUAAUACCAGUCUAGGUAACGUAUAGUGAGAAGACUCACCUCGAUGUCUCGGUAUGUAUAUGACUCGGUAGAAAUAUGAUCUAGCCUCCGCCUAAUCACAUAAAGUAAAUACUCUCAUAAAUACACUAUACUUAACCCUGAAAGUCAAGAAGGUCAACGGUCAAACUUUGACCCGGCUCGUCUAGUGCACUAGGGCGAAUCGGCGAGUCCACACGUGUCCACUGACUCUCUUAGUCCCUCUCUUAGCACGUCGAGUACUUCCCCUGACUCGACAAGUUCCAUAGGGCAUGAAUCGUGGGGCCACCCCGACUCAAAUCGCCAAGUCUCAAGAACAACUCAGCGAGUUCUAACUUGAACUCAGACUCCCCUGACUCUCUCUGACUCACCGAGUCAUUUCCCAACUCGGCUAGUCCACUCAGUGAGUGAUUAACGGGCAACCUUCAUACUACUCGCCGAGUCUGUUCUUCAGACUCGGCGAGUUCAUGCCAUGCACAAACUCUAUACAACUCCUGAGGUCAGAUAUGUUCCAUACAAUCAUAGAUCUAGUCUCCCCAAGCAUGAUAAUCACGUAAAGUUCGGACCUUGGCACUCAAAAAACAUCUAAAUGGUCCAAAAUGGUGAUUUAGCCCCAAAAAUGACAUUCCUAGCUCAUGGCUCCCAAAAGGACUCAUAAAGCUCUAAGGGUUAAGGCCUCUGGACCUCUUUGAGUCCAGAUCCAGAACACAAACAAGAGAAGGGACCAAAUGCUCCACUUAAUAAACCUCUAAAAGGGUUAGAAAACCCUAACACUAAGAAGCAACACCAAAAACUAAAGAAGGUCCGAGAAUAAUACCUCAAUACAAUCUCUAUGAGCUCAAAACCACCAAAAUCGCACCUCCUUCAGCCUCCUCUUGCCUUGAACACUUCCUUCUUGCAAAAACACCCACAAAAGGUUCAAGAAUAGCCUCUCCUUCCUCACAAACGCUCUAGAUCUCUUAGGGUUUCUCUCUGGGGGUUGGUGGCCGCAAAUGACGACCCUAAGACCCUUUAAAUAGGUCUCAAACCCUGGAAAUUAGGGUUUCAUUAAACAGCGUGGACUCGCCGAGUCCAGCUGUGAAUUCGCAUACAAAUUCGCGACUAUACUCGGCGAGUCUAGACGCCAACUCGCCGAGUCUCCCCUCAACACCCAAAAAUAAAAGGACAAACUAUAAUACCUGGGAAACUGGAUGUUACAAUUCUCCCCCACUAGAAUCAGACUUCGCCCUCGAAGUCUCACUCUGCAAACAACUCCGGAUGCUGCUCUCACAUCUCACGCUCUGGUUCCUAAGUCAAAUCUGACCCUUUCCGAUGCUACCACUGGACCUGCACCAGAGGCACUUCCUUGUUCCUCAAAACCUUGAUAUUCCGAUCCCGGAUCGCCACCGGUCUCUCAGCAUAAUUCAGGCUCGGAUCCACCUAAAUAUCUUCUAAUGGCACCACUGCCGACUCAUUGGUUAUACACUUUCGCAACUGUGAUACGUGGAAAGUGUCAUGAAUCUGACCCAACUCUGCUGGUAACUCCAAACGAUAGGCUACCCUUCCUACCCUCGCGAUCACCCUAAAAGGACCAAUAUAUCAGGGCCCCAACUAGCCCCUCUUCCUGAAUCGGAUCACUCCUUUCCAAGGAGAGACCUUCAGGAGCAUAACUCUUCUGACGAAUCUGAGCGGUCAACAACCUUUGUCUGACCUGCUGGAUCUGCUCUGUCGCCUGAAGUACAAUCUCGGUGCAGCCCAUCACACGCUGCCCUACUUCUCCCCAACAAAUAGGGGUUUGACACCUCCUUCCAUACAACAGCUCAAAGGGCGGCAUGUCAAUGCUUGAAUGAUGGUUGUUAUUAUAAGAAAACUACGCCAAUGGCAAAUACGUGUCCCAACUCCCGCCGAAAUCCAACACACAUGAUCGGAGCAUGUCCUCGAGCGUCUGAAUAGUCCGCUCACUCUGCCCAUCAGUCUGUCGGUGGUAUGCAGUACUAAAAUGAAGUUUCGUACCCAAUUCCUCAUGAAACUUCUGCCAGAAUCUGGAAGUGAAACGUACAUCUCGAUCUGAUACAAUCGAGAUCGGCACUCCAUACCACGAUACCUCCUCUUUCACGUACAUCUCUGCCAACUUCUCCGCAGAAGAGCUCACUGACGGCCAGGAAGUGAGCAAUCUUCGUCAACCUGUCCACAAUCACCCAAAUUGCAUCGACACCCCUCGCAGUCCUUGGCAAUUUGGUGAUGAAAUCCAUGGUAAUCUAUUCCCAUUUCCACUCGGGAAUCUCUAAUGGUUGCAACUUACCAUGUGGACACUGGUGCUCGGCCUUCACCCUGAGACAGGUCAAGCACCUCUCUACAAACCAUGCGACAUCCCUCUUCAUACAGGGCCACCAAUAAUCUUUUUUCAGGUCCAAAUACAUCUUAGUGGCCGCUGGAUGGAUCGAAAAAUUCGAUCGAUGAGCCUCUUCCAUCAAAAUGGUACACGUUCCGCCCAUAGAUGGUACCCAUAUCCGACCCUGAAAUGUCAUAAGCCCCCGGCUAUCGGUAACUAAUUCCGAUACCAGCCCGACAACUCGCUCUCUCUUCUGGCUUUCUGGUUUCACAGCCUCAGUCUGGGCCUCAAGAAUAGCAUCCAACACCAGGGUCAUCACUGUCAAUCUCAAACAGACAUCUCGUAUUGGGGCGCCCUCCGCUCUACGGCUCAAUGUAUCGGCUACCACAUUAGCCUUGCCCGGGUGGUACAGAAUCUCACAAUCAUAAUCCUUGACCACGUCCAACCAUCUCCUCUGGAGAAUAUUCAGGUUGGGCUGAACCAUCAAAUACUUCAAGCUCUUGUGGUCCAUGUAUAUCGUACACCGAACCCCAUACAGAUAAUGUCGCCAGAUCUUGAGAGCGAACACUACCGCUCCCAGCUCCAAAUCAUGAGUGGGAUAUCUCGACUCAUGAGGCUUAAGCUGCCUCGAUGCAUAUGCAAUCACAUGCCCCCUAUGCAUAAGCACCUCUCCCAAACUAGAUAUCGAUACAUCACAAUAUACCACAAAAUCUUCCAUCCUUUCCGGAAGGGCUAACACUGGGGCUUCGGAUAAUUUCUGGCGAAGUGGUCUCGAACGAGGUCUUCUGCUCCGGACCCCAAGAAAACGCAACACCCUUCCGGGUCAACUUGGUGAGUGGCACGGCGAUCUUGGAGAAAUCCUUAAUAAAUCUCCAAUAAUAGCCGGCCAAACCCAGAAAACUCCUGAUCUCGGUGGGUGAUCUCGGCACCUCCCAUCUCAUGACCGCCUCAAUCUUGGCCGGAUCGACCAAUAUCCCAUUCUGGUUAACGAGGUGCCCCAUAAACUGAACCUCUCGUAGCCAGAACUCACAUUUGGAGAACUUGGCAGAAAGCCUCUCCAAUCUCAGAACUCUGAGGAUCUCCCUCAAAUGCUCCUUAAGCUGCUCUCUGGAUCUCAAAUACACCAAUAUGUCGUCGAUGAACACGAUCACCGAGCGUUGGUGAGUCCGAAAUGCAUCAACACGAACUCAUAAUGCCCAUAAUGAGUCUGGAAUGCCAUCUUCUAGACAUCCUCCUCCCGCACCCUCACCUGAUGAUAACCAGACCUGAAAUCAAUCUUGGAGAACCAAGAUGCUCCUUGCAACUAAUAUAGCAAAUCAUCGAUCAUCGACAAUGGGUAACGGUUGUUGACUAUUAGCUUAUUCAACUCACGAUAAUCAAUGCACAUCUGGAGCGAGCCAUCCUUCUUCUUGACAAUAAGGAUAGGCACCCCCCAAGGCGAACUGCUCGGCCUAAUAAACCCCUUCCCCAGCAGCUCUUGAAGCUGCGAGGACAACUCCUGCAUCUCCGGAGGCGCAAGGUGAUAUGGUGCCUUGGCGAUAGGCGCAGCUCCCAGAAGCAGUUCAGUACCGAACUCUACCUGCCUCUCCAGAGGCACACCCGACAACUCCUCUGGAAACACAUCCAGAAACUCACGCACUAUCGGGACCUCAUCAACUAACUUCGGUCUCUCUGAACCAACCCUCGCAUCCAUCACAUAUGCCACAAAUCCCUUACAGCCCUGCUGUAGACUCUGUCGUGCUCUGGCGGUCGAGCAAAAUGCUGACCCCGAACGUGUACCCUCGCCGUACACCGUAAGAACUCCCCCACUAGGGUCUCGAAUUGUCACCAAUUGACGCUUGCAAUCUAUCACAGCUCCAUAUCGGCUCAACCAAUCCGUACCCACUAUAAGACACACGUCCCCCAUCGCGAUCGGAACCAGAUCUAUCGGAAACUCCACACCGAAGAUCUCAAGGACACAUCCUCGAAUCACAUCCGAAGCAUACAUUACUCGCUCAUUAGCUAUGAAAACUCGUAGAGGCCGAUCCAAUGCCUCUCUACGGAUACUAAUAUGCUGACUAAAUGCUACGGAAACAAACGACCGACUCGCACCCGAGUCAGAUAAUACCAACGCAGGCACAUAACUGACAAGAAAAGUACCUACGCAUACCAUCAUAUAAGCACAAAAAAAAUCAACCCAAAUAAAAGAUGAAAGAGAUUACAUACCAGCCGCAACAUCAGUCGCCGCGCGGACCCCCACCGCGGUCAACUGAAAUGCUCUUCCACGAGCCUUCGGAGCCUCGGCCUUCACCGGCCGAACCUCGGUAGCCCUAGCAGCAGGUGCAGACCCCUACACUGACCCUAAAGAAGCUGCGGGCACUCGCCCUUCUGAUGGCCGAUCUAGUUGCAAUGAAAGCAAACCGAAAAUCCCUUGGCUCAAUCCCUCGCGAUAUGCCCCUCCUUCCCAUACUUGUAGCACACCCCAACCUUGCAUGACCCCUCGUGACUCUUACCGCACUUCCCACAAGUGCGGCCCUUCACGCCCCCAGAUCUCGAAUCAGUGGGUCUAGCCCGCUUGGCUGCCGGCUGAGACUGAGCCGGCCGCCGAUCCACCCUUUGUAAGUCGGCCUCCUCCCUGGCCCGAGUCUCCAACUAGAUCUCCCUCUUCCGGGCAUUUUCCUCGAGCUCAGCAAAUGUCCGGUAAGUCGAGUUCGCCACGAACUCCCGAAUAUAUCUCCUCAGAACACUUAGAUAACGGCUCAUACGAGCCUGCUCAAAUGACACCUGCUCAGGGCAAAACAUCGCCCUCUCCUGAAACUUCCUGGUGAUCACUGCCACAGAAUCAGUACCCUGCUUGAGGGUCAAGAACUCCUGAAUCAACCGUUCCCUCUCAAUCAGGGGAACAUACUCCUCUCUUAACAUAGCGGUGAACCUCUCCCAGGUCACCUCGGAAAUUUCAACCAAAGUGAAGUUCGCUGUCACGAACUUCCACCAAUCCAUCGCUCCCAGGCGGAGCUGGUUCAAGGCGAAUCGAACCCUUAAGUGCUCUGGACAAGAACACAUAUAGAAACAUCCCUCGAUGUCAGAGAUCCACCUCAUAGCGGCAAUCGGGUCCUGCAUCCCAUCGAACUCUGGUGGCUUCAUGUUGCUGAAUUCCCGGAACAACAACGAGUCACCUCCCUGAGGUCUGGCAGUAGCAAUAGGAGCAGUAGCUGCAGCUGCAGUAGCCUCAGUCAAUGCUGCAUACCACUCAUCAAAAGUCUCAAUCAAUGUUUUCUUGAUGUCCCCAAACGUCUCGAGAAUCUCAGCCCAGAUGGCAGCAGCCACCUCCUCAUGAAUCAAUCGACGGAUCUCCUCGUCGCUGACACCACCGCUCUCAGGUGUGUGUCGAGUCCCAACCAUGAUGCCUCUGAAAUACAAUAAAGAAAUUAUCAGAGACUCGAUCGAGCAUACACAUACUCGAUGAUGCAACCCUACUUGUCCUCCGUUGUCGAAAAUAUUCUUACAUGGAAUGCCCACUGAUCCGGUGUCUUCAGUAGUACGGGCCCAAUACUACUGACCACACCGCAUCAGCAUUCACUCCAAGUCCUCCUCCUUGGAUCUUGGAUCACAAGUACUCUAUCUUCAUGGGGAUUCACCGUUCGGGCGCUGGCUGAUCGUACACACAACUCUGCUUUGUUUGUCUCAAAACUCUUUUUAUUCUUUUAAAAAAUUUUACUUCAUUAUCAAAAUUUUCCUCAAAUCCUCAGUUUGAGUUCAGAUACGCCCGAAGAUGCAUCCGAAUCCCUCAAACCAAGGCUCUGAUACCAACUUGUAACAACGAAAAUUUUCAAAACAAUUUUUCAUUUUAAAAUCAUACAUUUACUCAUAAAUAUUGUCAAAACAUAUUGUAUCAAUUGUUAUCAUCACGAAACAUCUGCCCAGAAUCUCAAACAUAAUCUCCAUAAGUGUGUACGAAUCAUGUCGGCGCCUUCCCGCGCUCAUCACUAGUACCUGAAACACAUGACACAACAACUUUAAGCAUCAAUGCUUAGUGAGUUCCCCAAAAUACCGCAUACAACAUAUACGACACUCGAGGCUAUAAUACGACCUUCCGGUCGAUGUGUCUCAGCGGGACCCUCCAGUCUCGUAGCUCGUUGGACCCUCUGGUACGGUCAUAGCUCGUUGGACCCUCCAGUCCGGUCUAUAACAUCAUACACAUACAUAUAUCACAUAGCACAUAAACUCAUACGUAACACAUAAGACCCUUUGGUCAAAAGAUAAUACCACUCUAAGUAACGUAUAGUGAGAGGAGCCACCUCGAUGUCUCGGUAAGUGUAUGACUCGGUAGAAAUGUGAUCUAGUCUCCGCCUAAUCACCUAAAGUAAAUACUCUCAUAAAUACACUGUACUCAACCCUAAAAGUCAACAACGUCAACGGUCAAACUUUGACCCAACUCGUUGAGUGCACUAGGGCGACUCGGCGAGUCCACACGUGUCCAUUGACUCUCUUAGUCCCUCUCUUAGCACGUCGAGUACUUCCCCUUACUCGACGAGUUCCACCUGGCAUGAAUCCCGAGGCCACCCCGACUCAACUCGCCGAGUCUCAAGAACAACUCGGCGAGUUCAAACUUGAACUCAGACUCCCCUGACUCUCUCUGACUAACCGAAUGCUCCACUUAAUCAACCUCUAAAAGGGUUAGAAAACUCUAACACUAAGAAUCAACACCAAAAAAUGAAGAAGGUCCGAUAAUAAUACCUCAAUACAAUCUCUAUGAGCUCAAAAACCACCAAAAUCGCACCUUCUUCAGCCUCCUCUUUCCUUGAACACUUCCUUCUUGCAAAAACACCCACAAAAGGUUCAAGAAUAGCUUCCCUUUCCUCACAAACGCUCUAGAUCUCUUAGGGUUUCUCUCUGGGGGUUGGUGGCCGCAAAUGACGGCCCUAAGACCCUUUAAAUAGGUCUCAAACCCUAGAAAUUAGGGUUUCAUUAAAUAGUGUGGACUCGCCGAGUCCAGCUGUGAAUUCGCAUAUGAAUUCGGGACCAUACUCGGCAAGUCAAGACGCCAACUCGCCGAGUCUCCCCUCAACACCCAAAAAAUAAAAGGACAAAAUAUAAUACCUGGGGAACCGGAUGUUACAUCGGGACCGGUGAAACACAAUGGUUCAGACUCGUCGAUCAAAGCUCAAUCCCCAACCAUUGCUUCAAGCAACUUUAGGGUUGUCUUUGAAUAUCAACCUCACUAUAAUGACACAAUCCGUCUCAUGAUCAAAUUCCUUCUCUUUCAUCCACUAUUUGGUGUAUUCGAUGCUUUCACCGAUGUUGUUCCACUCCCCUCUUUAUUCAAGUGUGUGUUCUCAGGCUAUUGUCCCAUCCAUAACCUUCAGGAGGUGCAUUUGCACCUAAUCGACGAAUCAAUGGUCGUGUUCACCAAGACCAUGUUUUUGGAAUUCUUUAAUCUUUAGGGUUCCACGAAACACCAAGGUCCUCUUUCCAAGCACAGACGACAUCAUCACCACUAUAUGCCAGAUCGGGUACCAGAAGAAGGUAAAGGGGAUCAGUGAAUUCAAGAAAAACCAGUUACCGGCAGUGUGGCAGUUUGUCUGCCAUUUCGUGAUCAGAAGCUUGUCCAAAAGAACCGGGGGGCACAAACAAUAUGGGAAUCAAGCUGCUCCAGCUUGUGUGGAGCAUCUUCACUGGCAAUGCAGUUGUCACACCCCGUAACUAGACAACGGAAACAUCUGAGGGCUCGCUUGACUUAAAUUGAAUAUCAUUAGAAUGAAUAUACAUGAAUCAGAACAUAAACAUCACCAUGCAUCAAUAUAUUACAUCUGAUAUUUUUCACAUCAAGUACAUUGGUUUGACGUUACAAUUCCAUACAUAAAUUGUUUGAUAGUUUUCAAAAGCAAAACACACUAACAUACUUGGUACUUAGUCCUCAGCCUACCUGUUACCUGAUAAUACAAGUUAUUUUGAAAAACGGUCAACAUAUGGAAUGUUGGUGAGUUAAUAAGCAGGUUUGAUAUGAAAAUGUUUUGUGUAGUUUGAACGAAAACAACCCAUAAAAUUAGAUAUUUUCUGAAAAGACCAUUGUUUAUAAAAAGUUUGGAGAUCCGUAAAUAUAUGCAUGAUGAUUUUAAAACAUGUAUAAUUGAAAAACUUUAUAUUAAACGUAAAAGUGAAAAAUGUUGAACUUUCCCGGAAAAACCAAUGUUUUCCAAAAUAAAAAUAUCAUAUACAGUUCGAAUUGUUAUCCCAUUACGUGAAUGAUAUUGAAUUACCUUGAUUUAUAUCGGGUUUAUUUAUGUGAGUCGUUAUAACGAUGCAUGAUAAUGACUACUUCGUUUCUCUUAAAUUACAAGGAGAUUUUUGAUGAAAUGAAGUAGCUAGUGAUGGGUUUUGAGCAUUCUAACACUUCCUAAGUGUACAUGCAACCCUAAUAACAUUGGAUCUAUGUUUGUCUAAUUAUCAUGCAAAGUUGAUAUCCAAGGUUAUAUUCCUAUCUAGCAUACAUGGGGAACAAUUUCUAACUUGAAUGAAAGAUAGAAUAACCUUCCUUGUUGUUGCUAUGUUCCUAGAAACCUUGUGAGCCUAGCACCCCAAGUGUGAUGCCUCAAAUGCUUCACACAACACCAAAUGCUCUUGGAAAGACUUUUGAGAAAAUACACACUACUUGAAAUCGGCAUAGCCCUCUAGUUUCUUAUAUGUAACCGAUUUUGGGGAGAAUUGGAUCCUUAUAUAGUGUUUACACAUCUAGGGUUACACCAUGUAAACCCUAAUGUGUCAUGACUCUUCAUUUCCAUGACCCAUGGGUUUGUAACCCCCAUGGAGCAUCCAUGGAUCAUCCUAUGGGUAGAACCCAACUUGAUAAUCCAUGGAGCCUCUUAGCCCACUAUACAAGAUAUGAAUGAUUUACAUAAUCAACGCAUAUAUUUAAUUAGUUAUCUUUUGAUCACUUAAUUAAUUCCAAAUUAAUUCUUUGAUCAAACUAAUCAAAUAAUAUUAUUAAUAUAUUAGAACUUAUAAUAUAUUAAUAAUCUCCAAGUGUUAUUCCUCUCAUUUAGUCUAUCCAAUUGCAUGGUGCCAUGCAACCCAAACGGACCAUGCCGGGUCGGGUCAAGUACUAGCCCGAAAUAGUUAUGGACUUAGACACCUUAUCCAACAGUCUCCCACUUGGAUAAGUCUAAUAACUAUAUCUCUAGUACUUCAGGAACCGACCGGCAAUCGUAGCUCUUUCAAGGUCUCUCGGAACUGAGAAGAUGAUGGUACGCCAUUUAAGAUAAGUGAUCAUAUAAUCCUCCGUUCUAGAUAUCAGCCGGACAAAUACAUGGAACAUUGUCUUGCUUAUUGUCCAGCAUUUGUUUCCCGAUUUCCGAUUUGUUUGACAUAGAACUUAAUUGAACACAUCAACUUAGUUCUGACCGGGCCCGGUACAUGGGUCAAAACAAAAUCAUCGAGGGGCCCAGAUAUCAGCUUCUAAUCCAAGAAGGAACAGAUAAACUUCGACUCAUAUGUUUGUUCUACCACUCAUUGAAUUACACACAAAAGUACGUUUUAUAACAUCGAGUUACCAAUGCGGUUUCGUACAGUCAAUGCAUAACCAACUUGUAAGUAACAAAUCAUAUCUCUAGGUUUGAAGACUUAUAUGAUAUUACCGUCUCACGAUCACUCGAGAUAGAAUUCCAUGAAGUGAUUCCAGUGAGCGUGGGUUGAGUCCAAUGCUCAGAACUUAUGAGCACUCAUGAUUGUUGUAGCCUUGUCCAACACCUUAGACCUCUACAACCCAUCAUGACAGUCUUGAUUCAUACCUACUUCCGACAUAUGACCGACUGUGGAGGUUUGAAUAAUAUGUUACACCAAACAAAAUUAUUCUGGAAGUCAAAACAUGCAAAAGAAAUAUAGUAAACGAUUGACAAGAGAUAGCAACACUUUACUCAUAAAUAAAACACCUUUUAUUCAUCAUCAAAUGUCAAUUACACUUUACAAAUUUCUGGGUUAUCUAACUACUAAAACUUAUAUCAUCCUUCAGCCCUAUGCUCCGAGCAUGCUGGAGAUGCUUAACCCUACUCAGUCCCUUCGUGAGGGGAUCUGCUGGGUUCUCAUCCGAUGAUACCCUCUUUGCCACGAGGAGUCCUUCUUCGAUCCGAUGUCUAAUGAAAUGGUAUUUUCUGUCGAUGUGUCUGGAUCUCCCAUGAUCCCUUGGUUCCUUGGCUAAGGCAACAGCACUUUCACUAUCACAGAAAAUUUCCAUUGGCUCUUUAAUAGCUGGUACAACUCCAAGGUCUCCAAUGAAGUUCUUCAGCCAUAUCGCCUCCUUUGCUGCUUCGCUAGCUGCAAUAUACUCUGAUUCACAAGUAGAAUCUGCCACUGUCUCUUGCUUGGAACUCUUCCAAGAAAUUGCUCCUCCGUUUAGGGUAAAGACCCAGCCCGACUGAGAGCGGAAAUUAUCCCUAUCAGUCUGGAAGCUAGCAUCACUAUACCCUACAACUCUCAAGUCAUCACUCCCACCGAGGGUAAGGACCCAGUCCUUAGUCCUCCGUAGGUACUUGAGGAUAUUCUUUACCGCAGUCCAGUGUGCCUUGCCAGGGUUCGCCUGAUACCUGCUAACCAUGCUCAAGGCAAAAGCUACAUCGGGUCGAGUACACGUCAUAGCAUACAUGAUCGAUCCUACAGCCGAAGCGUAAGGUGUUCGACUCAUUUCUGCUAUCUCAGCCUCAGUGCUAGGGCUUUGUGUCUUACUCAAUCUGGUGUUACUCUGGAUGGGUAACUCUCCUUUCUUGGAAUCCUGCAUGCUGAAUCUCUUCAGCACCUUAUCCAAGUAGGUACUCUGACUAAGUCCAAUUAGUCUUUUACUCCGAUCUCUCAAGAUUCUUAUCCCUAGAAUAUAGGCAGCUUCACCAAGGUCCUUCAUAGCGAAACACUUCCCAAGCCAGGACUUUACUUCCUGCAGGGUUGGAAUGUCGUUUCCUAUGAGUAGUAUGUCAUCCACAUACAAUACCAAAAAGCUAACUAUACUCCCACUAGCCUUGACAUACACACAAGAUUCAUCUUCACUCCUAGAAAAGCCAAAUUCCUUGACCUUUUCAUCAAAGCAAAGAUUCCAUCUGCGAGGUGCUUGCUUCAAUCCAUAAAUGGAUUUCUCAAGCUUACACACUCUAUUAGGGUACUCGUUGCUGACAAAACCCUCUGGCUGACUCAUGUAAACAUCUUCAGCCAACUUUCCAUUAAGGAAAGCGGUUUUGACAUCCAUCUGCCAUAUUUCAUAGUCAUGAAAUGCAGCUAUGGCUAACAGAACCCGAAUAGACUUAAUCUUGGCUACCGGAGAAAAGGUCUCAUCAUAAUCCACUCCAGGAAUUUGAGAGAAGCCCUUUGCAACCAGUCUAGCCUUAUAAGUGUGUACUUUACCAUCCAUGUCGGUCUUCUUCUUGAAGACCCAUUUGCACCCUACUGUCUUACGACCUGGUACAUUUUCAACCAAGUUCCAAACUUGAUUGUCAUACAUGGAUUGUAUCUCGCUAUCCAUAGCCUCUUUCCAUUUAGCAGACUCGGGGCCUGCCAUGGCUUCCUCGUAGCUGUUAGGGUCAUCUUGACUUACUAGUGUCUCAUCACUAAUAAGUGUCUCACCUUCUGCAGUAAUAUGGAAUCCAUAGUAAUGCUCAGGUGCACUCCUAACUCUCGUGGAACGUCUCAGAGGUACAGAUUUGUCAAUUGGCUCAACAGGAGUUUCCUCCUCAAGUUGAGGGCUAGAGUUUGAAGUUCCUUCACCGCUUGAUUCUUGAAUUUCUUCAAGAUCAAUUUGCCUCCCACUGUCUCCUUGGCUUAUAAACUCUCUUUCUCGAAAGACUCCUCUUCUUGCUACAAAGACCACAUUGUCACUAGGUCUGUAGAAGAGGUAACCAAAGGAUCGCUGUGGGUAACCGAUGAAAAUACACCUCUCGCUUCGAGGUUCGAGCUUAUCAUGAGUCUCGCGUCUCACGAAAGCCUCGCAACCCCAAAUCUUGAUGUGGUCUAGUUUAGGUACUUUACCAGUCCACAUCUCGUGAGGAGUUUUGGCAACUUUCUUUGUAGGGACUAGAUUAAGAAUAUGGGCGGCAGUCUCUAAGGCAUACCCCCAGAAUGAGAUUGGUAGCGUAGCUCGACUCAUCAUGGAACGAACCAUAUCUAACAAGGUUCGAUUACGCCUCUCAGCCACACCAUUCAACUGUGGUGUCCUGGGAGGUGUCAAUUGUGAGACUAUCCCACAUUCCCUUAGAUAGUCGAGGAACUCUGAACUAAGAUACUCACCACCACGAUCGGAUCGAAGCAUCUUAAUGUUCCUGCCCAAUUGAUUCUCGACUUCCUGUUUAAAUUCCUUAAACCUCUCGAAAGUCUCUGACUUAUGCUUGAUCAAGUAGACAUAUCCAUAUCUACUAUAAUCAUCAGUAAAAGUCAAAUAAUAACGAUUAGCAUCCCUUGUGGCAUGUUUGAAUGGUCCACACACAUCCGUGUGUAUAAGGUCCAACAAACCUUCACCCCUCUCACACGAACCUGUGAAGGGUGACUUUGUCAUUUUUCCAAGUAAGCAUGAUUCGCAACUAUCAUCUGACUUUAGGUCAAACGACUCCAAGACUCCAUCCUUUUGGAGUUGGCCUAUGCGUUUCUUGCUUAUAUGUCCAAGACGACAAUGCCAUAAAGAUGCUUUAUCCAAGUUAUUAUUAGUAGAAUCAAUACACAAAACAUUAUUUCCCAAGUUAUCUACAACAGAUACAGCUUCAUACACACCAUCACAAGGUAAUGCUUUAAAAUAAAAGACAUUAUUAUAGAAAACAUCUAUAGAACCAACUUCAUUAUUAAAUGAAAAGGUAAACCCUUGUUUGUACAAAGCAUGAAAGGAAAUAAUAUUUCUUGCCAUUCCUGGCGAAUAACAACACUUAUUCAAAUCUAAACUAAACCCACUACUUAGCGAUAAAGUAUAAACUCCAAUCUUGGUAACAGGUAUAGCUUUCCUAUUCCCCAUGAUCAAGUUUAUCCUUCCUUGCUCCACAUCCUCACUUCUUCUUAGUCCCUGCAAGUCACAACAAAUGUGAAUACCACACCCGGUAUCAAGGACCCAAGAAUUAGAAUGGGGUGAGUUAUUAGAAAUGAUAGUGUAAAUACCUGCAUGGUUGGGUUUAACUUUCCCAUCCUUCACAUCUUGCUGGUAUUUUGGGCAGUUCCGCUUCCAAUGAGCUUUUUCAUGGCAAUAGAAGCAUUCAGCCUCUUUUGGGUCAGAAGAAGGAGUAAUGAAACCUUUCUUGGUUCCACUUGAAGAAGAGCCAUCAAGGGUCCGAACCUUGGUACCCUUAGAAGAGCUCUUUCUCUUCCUCCCUCGACUUUUCCCGAUUGCCAAAACCGGAGUAGAGUUUUGAGUAGGAGUGAUAGCAACCGACUUCCCCUUAAGACCUGAUUCUGCGGUCUUGAGAAGUCCCUGAAGUUUGCUGAGGGUGACUUCUUCCUUGUUCAUGUGAUAUGUCAUGCGGAAUUGAUCAUAGCACGAUGGUAAGGAAUGCAAAAUAAUAUCUAUUGCAAGAUCCUCCGGGAAGUUCACAUUAAGCUUCAGCAAACGAUCCACAUACCUUUGCAUUUUCUGCAUGUGGCUCGUGACGGAUUCCCCGUCCUUCAUCAUGGUUGUUAUCAUGGAGCAGAUGAUUUCAUACCUCUCUUGUCUUGCACUUUGAUGGUAUCUUUCCAUCAAAUCUUGGUGCAUUUCAUAAGGGUAGAAAUCCUCAUAAGACUUUUGGAGUUCCGCUGUCAUCGUGGCCAUCAUGAUGCAAGCCACUUUCGUAGCAUCCCUUUCAUGUGCCCGAAAUUCAGCGAUCUCCUGAGGAGUUGCAGUGGACUCAUCAAUCUCCUUAAGCUCCUUGUCAAGGACAUAUUCUUUGUCCUCGUAGCGGGUAAUCAUCCUGAUGUUUCUGAUCCACUCAUUGAAGUUGGAUCCAUCAAAGGUGACUUUCCCACACAAGUUCAUAAGGGUAAAGGAGCCAUUAGGAUUAGAGCCAGAAGCAUUGUUGAAAGACAUCUGAAGGAAAGAGGACAAGAUUAGUUUAGAUAUAAGAGAGUCCUUAAUAAAACACCCAAAUGUAAUAUUAAGGCUAGGAUCCAAUCACAAUAUAAUAUAACUUAGAAGAGGUAUGCCGUAAUCUAAGCUAUAUCAUAUUUGAAAGGUAGGUGAAUGACGAUUCACCAAUUUCCACCACGAAAACCGCAAUAUUUUAGUAUUAGGUUUUUGAAUGGUUCUUAGAAAUUCCUAGAUUCUUUGAGAUUCAAUGAACUUUUCAAAGGCAUGUUUCAAUCUCGAGUGUGCCCUCCAAGUUUUGUGACUGGGAUACCGAGGAUCACAAAACGAGGUGUGAAGUAACCAUGCAAAUCACUUGGUACCCUUAAAGUUUAUCACUCAAUCGAUGUGCCGGUUAACCACACACGCUCCAUCGAUACUAUAAUAAACCCUAAGUCACCCUUUACCUACCUUGUUAAGUCCAAGUUAGUGUGCCGGUUAACCACACACGCUCCACCAACGACUUAAUCAAAGUGUAAAGUGUAAUUUCAUGGAAUAGCACCUUAUUCACAUUUUUCCUAAAGUAACUAAGAUUGGGAAUUUAAUAAAACAUUUAGUUACUUUAUAAUAUUCAUCAUACUUUGAAUGAGAAUUAAUAAGUCCUUGUCUUACCCGUUCGGCUAACGACCCUCCACCGAUCAAGCAAGCGGUGGGUGAGAGUGGACACCCAUUAAGUCACCAUUUUAUAGGCAACAACCUUAUACCCACCUUAUAGACCGGCUUCGUGAAUGAGGCGUACUAGCGGUAAGACGACUUUGUUCUUAUACAUAUAUAUAUAAUUAUUAAAUCAUAAUAAUAUAAGUAUAAGGGUUGAAUUUUAACUUUUAAAAUUCUAGGGGUUGGAACUAAAGUUUUAACUUAACUUUACUUGUUCCAAAACUUGAGGGCAAGUUUUGUAAACUUUCAAAACUUUUCAUUUCUUGUAACUUAUGAGUUUAAUAGAGUAAUAAAAUGAGGACUUGCUUCAUUUUUCUAACUCUUGUGUUUUUUAAUGGUUUUUAACCCAAGUGACUUUUGGUUUUCCAUAACUUGAGGACAAGUUAUGGACUCCAUUAAAACACAUUAUGAUCAAGAAUUAAACUACCACAUAGGUUACAAAUAAUUCCUAUGAUCAUCUAAACAUCAUAAAAUCAAGAACAUGAACAUGAACACUUUCAUGAAUCAAAACUACACUUAAAACUUUGUAAUUUUGAUAACUAGUUGUUGUAAAUGAGUUAGAAAAGACAUUACACCUUCUAAAAUAAGUUUUCAAGUACCAAAACAUUUUAGGGUAAUGAUUCUAAUCCAUUUCCAGCAACACAAGUCGAAAUUCUGCACUCUGUCGACCCUACUCGCCGAGUGCAUAAACCUACUCGCCGAGUAGGUUGAAGAUACACAUGAACUCGUCGAGUCCUCCCCAUGGACUCGCCGAGUCCAUCAGUCAGACAGCAAGAUUUUCGACUUUCUUCAACUUUUAAGCACAAAUAACAAACAAACAAGCCUAGGCUCUGAUACCACUGAUGGGUUUUGAGCAUUCUAACACUUCCUAAGUGUACAUGCAACCCUAAUAACCUUGGAUCUAUGUUUGUCUAAUUAUCAUGCAAAGUUGAAUUCCAAGUUUCUAACUUGAAUGAAAGAUAGAAUAACUUAUCUUGUUGUUGCUAUGUUCCUAGAAACCUUGUGAGCCUAGCACCCCAAGUGUGAUGCCUCAAAUGCUUCACACAACACCAAAUGCUCUUGGAAAGACUUUUGAGAGAAUACACACUACUUGAAAUCGGCCUAGCCCUCUAGUUUCUUAUAUGUAACCGAUUUUGGUGGAGAAUGGGAUCCUUAUAUAGUGUUGACACAUCUAGGGUUACACCAUGUAAACCCUAAUGUGUCAUGACUCUUCAUUUCCACGACCCAUGGGUUUGUAACUCCCAUGGAGCAUCCUAUGAGUAGAACCCAACUUGAUAAUCCAUGGAGCCUCUUAGCCCACUAUACAAGAUAUGAAUGAUUUACAUAAUCAACCCAUAUAUUUAAUUAGUUAUCUUUUGAUCACUUAAUUAAUUCCAAAUUAAUUCUUUGAUGAAACUAAUCAAAUAAUAUGAUUAAUAUAUUAGAACUUAUAAUAUAUUAAUAAUCUCCAAGUGUUAUUCCUCUCAUUUAGUCUAGCCAAUUGCAUGGUGCCAUGCAACCCAAAUGGACCAUGCCGGGUCGGGUCAAGUACUAACCAGAAAUAGUUAUGGACUUAGACACCUUAUCAAAUAGCUAGAUCAUGGACUGAAGAACUAACGUACCUUGAAUGAUGAUUUUUGUGGAAGAAGCUCCUUGAAAAGCUCUAAAUCUCGAAAAUUUUGGUGGAGAAGGAAGGGGUUGUUGUGAGUUCUUGAGAUAUGUUGAAGUGAGUUGUGUGUUAUGUGUUUUCCCCAUGGGAUGGUGCAUGGAAAUCCAUAAGGUAAUAAUGAGGUGGCUAAGCCUCCUUAUUUCACUGGUUUAUCUUUUUAUUAUUCUUGGGCAGAGAAAAGAGAGAUUUUGUGACACCUCCCUUUUCACGGCCAGAAAAGACCGAUUUGUUUAUACUUUGUUUUAUAAAUAAGAGUGAUCGUUUAAAGAAAACGGUUGCAGAAUUUGUUCCCAAAAUAAAAUAUGAUAACCAUUUAUCAAAACGUUUCUCAAAGAGAAUGUAUUUUCAUUAAAUAAUAAAACCUCGGGAUGUCAUGUUCCGAUACAGACCAAAAGCAUAAACAAUAUAAAAUAGACCUUACAACAGUUAUUCAUAACUACUGGCCUAUAAUCCAAAAUCUCUCGUCAAGUCCACCAACUUAUACUCUUGUGCCAUUACCUGUAAUGCUAAGAAAACUGAGUGGGUCAAGCUUGGGAGCCUGGUGAGCAUAUAGGGUUUUCAACCCACAAUAAUAUAAUUAUUAUAUUCAACCAUCAAACAAUCAACUCAAUGACUCAUCCCUAUUAUCUUUCUUAGGAUUUUACCCUAGGAAUUCAACUACUCGUCAUUCAUUCAUUCCUAAGGAUUGACCUAAGGAAUUUACACAAACUUCCAUUGCUACAUAAGGCGCAUUUGACAACAUUAUCCUUUAAGCGCCUCUGCCAGGAUUACGUCAUACACUAUGAGGCGCGACUGCCAGGUUUAUGACAUUCUCUUUUAGGCGCAUUUGCCAACAUUAUCUUAUAAGCGCAUCUGCCAAGAUUAUCCUAUAAGCGCAUCUACUAUUGUUAUGACAAUCUCUAUUUGGCGCAUCUGCCAAGAUCACGACAUUCACUACUUGGUGCAUCUACCAAUAUUAUUCUCAAGCGCAUCUGCUAGUUUUAUGACAUUCUUUAAUUGGUGCAUCUACCAAUAUCAUUCUUAAUCAUCUUUCAUACCUCAUCAUUUUAUCACAUACCAACUAUCUCAUCUACCCAUGUUCUACCCAACAUAUUUGUAGAUAUAAAAUACAUAUACAGUUUAACUCAUUUAAAAACUAUAUAAAACAUUCAUUCCAUACUCAUCUCAAAUAAACAACAAUAUAUAAACACAUAGCACGUAUUUUAUAACAAAUACUUCAUAUUUAUGUGUUAGAAGAAAGUAACUACACACUCACACAAAACAUAUACUUAAUACAUUCAAACAAUACUUGUAUUAUACCCGUGUUUAUGAAAGGGACUAUACACCCACACAUAUAAACAACUUUAUAUUAUACACAUAGCACGUAUUUUAUAGAAAAUACUUAAUAUUUAUGUGUUAGAAGAAAGUAACUACACACUCACUCGUAUAANGCUCGGGAAUCGCACUUCACGGGAUCUCGGGAGCGUAAAACUUCCUUCUUAACUUGGAUAUGAGAUCCGGGGUGUCGGGAUGGCUUCGGGGGUUUACACGCAGAGCUUCGGCACAAAAACGAGGAGAAAUGAGCAAAUAAGCCCGGAACCCUCGCAUCCUAUUUAUAGGAGUCUGGAGCCUCGGAGUACGCGGGGCGUACUGGUCCGAAAUCGUCAAUGCGUUCGUCAUCCGAAGAACUCGAGUGCGAAGGUUGUCAUGCUUCGUUGUACGCUAGGCAUACUUCGGAUAUGCCCGGUGACUCCCCCUUCGGAUAAUAUCGGGUUUUAUAAUUAAAUUUAAAUGUUAAUUAUUUAAUAAACUUCGAAAAUUCAUAUCUUCUUCAUACGAACUCCGUUUUUGACGUUCUUUAUAUCCACACGUAGGUGAGAAUACGUUCUACAAGUUUCGUUUAGACUUCGUCGGCUAACUUUGAAUUUAUUUUUAUUAUUUAUUUUUAGUAGGUCCGGACAGGAAAGCUUCGUUAUAAAUUCAUAACUUCUUCGUUUGACGUCCGUUCUCGCCUAACUUUUCAUCUCUUCGAUACCAACAACGAGAUCUUAGAUUCUCGUUUAGAUUGUUUCGGCUAAAAACCGCUCGAUCUCAAAUCGAGUAUUUCGGGCUGCAUACCGCUAAGUCGAAACUUAGAAAAAUCAUAACUUCCUCAUACUAAGUCAGAUUUGGGCGUUCUUUUUAUGCACGCACAUGGUUUAACGUAUUAUACGACUUUCAUUUAGAUUGCUAAGGCUAAAUAUCACUCAAACGUAAAUUCAAUUUUUACGUCGCGCUGUGUCGUGCCGAUUCUGUCGCGAAACUUCGACAAGUCAUAACUUCUUCGUCAUAACUCGGAUUUCGGCGUGCUUUAUAUGUACGGAAUCCUUGUAACAUACACUACAACUUAGUUAAGAUUAUUCAUUCUAAAUAAUCAUUCAUCAAAAAUUCAUUUUUGACGCCUAUCGUCUCUAAUUUGACUAGCCCUGAUCUACGGGCGUUACAAUUAUCUCCCCCUUCUGAUGAUUACGUCCCGGAAUCAUCAACGAAAAUAGAACUUGUACAAUGAUUCCAUACGCUAUCUCUUCAUCCUAGGUAAUAACCGUAACUUCUAUGUUUCCUCGAAAGAGUAUUUAACUCUAUGGCUUUCUUGACCGCAGACGAUGCCCAAACUUGCAUCUGCUUAUCGUACUAUGAUGUACUUUCAAUCGUAUCCCUCGAGUUGCCAAAUAAGUCGUUAUUAUGGACUCCUUCUUCUUCUCAAGAUAAAUACUUUCCUUUAUCUAUUGUAACAAACCAAUGGGUCGUACUCUACUGACCUCUCAUUAAUGAUGCAAUGCUUAGACUCAAGUCUCUUAGAGUUAAAUUCCAAAAUGGAAUAUACCUUCCUUCAUAUUCUAAUGUGAUAUAAUCACAUUUCAGCAUGUAGCAUUUCUACCUACAAACUUCUUUUAACAACGAGCGCGACACUAUCAAUCGCAUUAACUUCAACCUUCUGACUUAAGUCAGAUGUUACAUCUAACUUGGUCCUCUAGACCACGUAACAUACCCCUCGUAGUCGAACUCAAAUUUAAAUAUGACCACUAGGGUCGGAACAAGAAACAUCUUACUAGUCACUACCGAAACAAAGGUAAGGACACACUUAAACAAAACGGAAUCAAUCACUAGCUUCUUGGUAACCUUGUGACUUUCCCUGAUCCAAGUGUGAGUCUUGUGCUUCCGGUAGUAUAUGCAUCUACUACCUUUCACACCUACUCAUACUCGUCCCAAGUAUUGUCCCGCAGUCGACCAAGUCACCAUACAAGAAAAUCACAAAAUCAUUCAACACAUCAGUUAGCAAAACUAGGGUUUAUAUUAAUUCCUUGAAACGAUUACACAAAAGUUCAAGUUCACCCUAUACUAUGCCUCUAAUAGGCUACACCACAUGUUACUUUUCAUAUCGCUACUUUAUAACUUGAUCUUUGGAUAUAAAAUCCUCAUUCCUGAUUCCUUGCAUUGCCAUCUGCUUCAUCAAGGAUCAUUUGAAAUGCUCUUGCCUUUAGCUUUGGCGGCGCCUCUAGCCUUGCUGCUUGAUUUUUCCUUGGGCAGUCUUGCUUGAAGUGCCCCUCUUCGUUACAUUCGUAACACACCUUUUUGUUGAAAAUACAUUCAUCGGCGUAAUGCCCAUGCUUUCCACACUUGAAACAUGUCACCUCCAAGCCACAUUUUCCUGAGUGCUUCUUCUUGCACUUAUCGCACCACCUUGCCUCAUCCCUUCCUCCUCCUCCAGACUUCGAGAAUUUUCUUUUCUCAUUAGAACCUGAAGUUCCUUCUAACUUUCUCUUCUCGCCAUAUUCAACCUUACUGUCAGUCCGCCCCUUGAUCAUAUUCUCAACAGACUUGGCAGCCCAAAUAGCUGCCUCUAAAGUAGGUGCCUGAUACACUGGCACCGCAUACUCCCAAGGGAGUCCCUUUGCGUACCGGUCGACUUUUGUCAGUUCGUCUGGGACGAUGCGCAAAGAAAACUCCAUCUUGUCUGUGAAGGCAUUAGUGUAUUCAUCCACUGACAUGCUGCCUUUCUUCAAUAUCAGAAAUUUGUUCUCCAACUCUAGCAGGUUUUGGGCCGAGCAGAACUUGCGCUUGAAUUGCACCAAGAACUCUGCCCAGGUCAGUUGCAGUGGCUCAUCAGGACUUAGGAUCUUCCCCAAAGUGUUCCACCAACGAACAGCCCCACCCCUGAACUGACGUNCAACUUGCCUCUGCAGCCACAAGUCAUGAAGGCUAACUCCAUUUCGGAGAUCCAAUCCAUAACUCCAAUCGGAUCCUCUUUUUCAUUGAAGGUCGAUGGUUUGCAAGUUAGAAAGUCCUUGUACUUGCAUCCCAUUCCAUCAUUCCUGCCAUCAUGGUUGUUUUGCCUAACUAUCGGUGGAUUGGCUUGACCAAUAGACCGACUGAAGUUUCCACCUUCCGAGUGCCCUUCAUUUAAUUCGGGCUCUUCCACACGAAUUGACAGUUCUUCACGAUUCUGUUGAAGCAACCGCCUAGUCUCCUCCAUUUGACGAUCCAACAUUGUUUGAAUCAUCAUUUGUACACCAACCAUGGUUAUUGGCUCAGGUGCUGCUGCUACGACAGGUAUUUGCUCAAUCACUGGUGGUUGAUUCCUGUUUUCAUCAGCAUUUCCAACUCCACUUCUUGUUCUCACCAUUUUUGAUCUACACACCGAAUAAGGUGAAAUUAGAUCCUCAUUCACGAUAGAUAUUCAAAUCAUCCUUAUCACUCCGAAACGUUUACAUGCUAGUUCUAACAUCGAAGACGUACGCUUAGAAUCCUACACACAUAUGGUCGGCAACAGACCAUAGAUUCGAACAAAUAAUAUCAUAUAUGGGAAACAUAUAACAUUUAGCACAUAAAAGCAUUUUAGGCAACUUUCCUAAAUUAACUAGUGCCCGUAUCUAAAAUAUGACAGACACUCAUCCCACAAUCUUCACUUAGCAUUCUAUGUUUAAGUCUAGAAAUCCUACAAAUUCCUAGUCCGCUUAUAAUAAUGCUCUGAUACCAACUAUGACAUCCCCAAAUUUCACGGCCAAAAAAGACCGAUUUGUUUAUGCUUUGUUUUAAAAUCAGAGUAAUCUUUUAAAGAAAAUUGUUGUGGAAUUUGUCCGCAGAAAACAUGAUAAAUACUUUAUCCAAGCAUCUCCGAAGAGAUGUAUUUUAUUCGUUUUAAAACAUUUGGGAUGUCCUGGUCAAUACAGACACAUAAGCAUAAACNAAAUAGACCUUACAACAGUUAUUCAUAACUACUGGCCUAUAAUCCAAAAUCUCUCGUCAAGUCCACCAACUUAUACUCUUGUGCCAUUACCUGUAAUGCAAAGAAAACUGAGUGGGUCAGGCUUGGGAGCCUGGUGAGCAUAUAGGGUUUUCAACCCACAAUAAUAUAAUUAUUAUAUUCAACCAUCAAACAAUCAACUCAAUUACUCAUCCCUAUUAUCUUUCUAAGGAUUUAACCCUAGGAAUUCAACUACUCGUCAUUCAUUCAUUCCUAAGGAUUGACCUAAGGAAUUUACACAAACUUCCAUUGCUACAUAAGGCGCAUCUGCCAACAUAUCCUUUAAGCGUCUCUGCCAGGAUUACGUCAUACACUGUGAGGCGCGACUGCCAGGUUUAUGACAUUCUCUUUUAGGCGCAUCUGCCAGGAUUAUCUCAUAAGUGCAUCUGCUAGUAUUAUGAUAUUCUAUAUUUGGUGCAUCUACCAAUNUGUUAUGACAUCUCUAUUAGGCGCAUCUACCAAGAUCACGACAUUCACAACUUGGUGCAUCUACCGAUAUUAUUCUCAAGCGCAUCUGCUAGUUUUAUGACAUUCUUUAAUUGGUGCAUCUACCAAUAUCAUUCUUAAUCAUCUUUCAUACCUCAUCAUUUUAUCACAUACCAACUAUCUCAUCUACCCAUGUUCUACCCAACAUAUUUGUAGAUAUAAAAUACAUAUACAGUUUAACUCAUUUAAAAACUAUAUAAAACAUUCAUUCCAUACUCAUCUCAAAUAAACAACAAUAUAUAAACACAUAGCACGUAUUUUAUAACAAAUACUUCAUAUUUAUGUGUUNNNNNNNNNNNNNNNNNNNNNNNNNNNNNNNCAAUAUACUUAAUACACUCGAACCAUACUUGUAUUAUUAUCGUGUUUAUGAAAGGUAGUAUACACUCACUUGAUCAGAAGAUGAUCGGACAGCACUACGACUUGCAGAAGUAGUAUUCUUCGGUAGAUCUGGAAGAUCUCCACAAAAACCGGACUUCUCGCGGGCAGAGCUUCGGCUCGGGAAUCGCACUUCACGGGAUCUCGGGAGCAUAAAACUUCCUUCUUAACUUGGAUAUGAGAUCCGGGGUGUCGAGAUGUCUUCGGGGGUUUACACGCAUAGCUUCGGCACAAAAACGAGGAGAUAUGAGCAAAUAAGCCCGGAACCCUCGCAUCCUAUUUAUAGGAGGCUGGAGCCUCGGAGUACGCGGGGCGUACUGGUCCAAAAUCGUUAUUGCGUUCGUCAUCCGAAGAACUCGAGUGCGAAGGUCGUCAUGCUUCGCUGUACGCGGGGCGUACANNNNNNNNNNNNNNNNNNNNNNNNNNNNNNNNNNNNNNNNNNNNNNNNNNNNNNNNNNNNNNNNNNNNNNNGGAAAUUCAUAUCUUCUUCAUACGAACUCUGUUUUUGACGUUCUUUAUAUCCACGUGUAGGUGAGACAACGCUCUACAACUUUCGUUUAGACUUCGUCGGCUAAUUUUGAAUUUAUUUUUAUUAUUUAUUUUUAGUAGACCCGGACAGGAAAACUUCGUUAUAAAUUCAUAACUUCUUCGUUUGACGUCCGUUCUUGCCUAACUUUUCAUCGAUUCGAUACCAACAACGAGAUCUUCGAUUCUGGUUUAGAUUGUUUCGGCUAAAACCGCUCGAUAUCAAAUCGAGUACUUCGGGCUGCAUACCGCUAAGUCGAAACUUAGAAAAAUCAUAACUUCCUCAUACGAAGUCAGAUUUGGGCGUUCUUUUUAUGCACGCUCAUGGUUUAACGUAUUAUACGACUUUCAUUUAGAUUGCUAAGGCUAAAUAUCACUCUAACGUAAAUUCACUUUUUACGUCGCACUGUGUCGUGCCGAUUCUGUCGCGAAACAUCAACAGGUCAUAACUUCUUCGUUAUAACUCGGAUUUCGGUGUUCUUUAUAUGUACGGAAUCCUUGUAACACAUACUACAACUUAGUUAAGAUUAUUCAUUCUAAAUAAUCUUUCAUCAAAAAUUCAUUUUUGACGCCUAUCGUCUCUAAAUUGACUAGCCCUGAUCUACGGGCGUUACAUAUUUUUGGUUCACAAUUGUUAUCAUUGUUGUUGUUACAAAGCAUCAAAAUUCCAAGUUGUGACAUCAUCCCCCCGUUAGAGGGAAUUUCGUCCCGAAAUUCUUUUGAAAGCUAGAUUUGAUAAAGCGAGAAUAGGUGAGGAUACUUCUGUUUCAUCUGAACUUCACGUUCCCAUGUGAAUUCUGGCCCACGCUUCGCGUUCCACUGUACCUUCACAAUCAGAAUGCGACUUUUCUUGGUACGCUUCACCUCCCCGUCCAAAAUUUCGACUGUUUCUUCGACGAACAAGAGAUUCUCGUUGAUUUCUAUUUCUUCAAAGGGAAUGACGAGGGUUUCGUCGGAUAAACACUUUUUCGAAUUGGAAACAUGGAACACAGGGUGUACACUGCUAAGCUCAGCGGGUAGCUGCAGUCUAUACGCCACUGGACCGAUUCGGGCAAGAAUCUCGAAAGGUCCGAUAUAUAUCGUAGAUUCAACUUUCCCCGUUUUCCAAAACGAAUAACCCUUUCCUAGGAGAGACUUUUAACAACACCCGAUCCCUGACUUGAAACUCCAACGGCUUCCGCCGUUUAUCAUCGUAGCUCUUCUGUCGUCUGCGUGAUGCUUGUAGUCGUGCUCUGAUUUGAACUAUCUUUUUUGUCGUUUCAUGUAUGAUCUCUGGUCCCGUUAACGCACCGCCUGACGUCAGUUCUCUCGCUAGCUGGGUGUCACAUACCUCAGCCCAACCUAAUGAUGAUCUACAUUUUUGUCCAUACAAUGCCUCGAAAGGAGCAACUUUGAUGCUCGUGUGAUAACUGUUGUUAUACGAGAAUUUGAUUAAGGGUAAGUGGGUAUCCCACGACUUUCCAAAUUCUAUCACACACGCGCGAAACAUGUCUUCAAGUGUCCGAAUGGUUCGUUCGCUUCGACCAUCCUUUUGCGGAUGAUAAGCAGUGCUCAUGUCGAGAUGUGUUCCUAGUGCUUUCUGGAGUGAUUGCAAUAAACGUGAAGUGAAUCUACUAUCUCUAUCCGAGAUGAUAGAUACCGACACUCUGUGAAGUCUCACAAUUUCCUUGAUGUAUAUCCUCGUCAACCUCUCCAUCUUGUAGGAUUCUUUUAUUGGUAGGAAAUGAGCGGAUUUCGUCAAUCUGUCGACUAUUACCCAUAUGGUGUCCAAUCAUCUAUUGACUUGGGUAAUUUGGUCACAAAGUCCAUAGUAAUCAAUUCCCAUUUCCACUCGGGAAUUACUUGUUGCUGUAAUCAUUCCGAGGGCUUCUGAUAAUCCACCUUCAAUUUAGCACAAGUAAGGCAUUUGCUAACAUAGGUGGCAAUCUCUGCCUUCAUGUUGGGCCACCAAUAAUGUUGCUUAAUAUCCAAGUACAUUUUAUCUGAACCCAAAUGGAUGGAGUAUCGUGUCUUGUGGGCUUCAUUCAUGACCACCACUCUGAAUCCCCCAAUUUUAGGGACCUAAAUGCGGUUCAUGAAAAAAUAAGCUCUGUCCUCUUUCACUUCGAGAUUCUUUUCCAUUCCACGUAAUGCUUCGCUCGUUCUGUUUUCUGCCUUCAUGGCAUCCAACUGGGCUGUUCUGAUUUGCGAGGUCAGGUGGGAUUGGAUGGUUAUUGAGAGAGUUUUCACACGAUGAUUCGGGUAUUCUUUCCGACUCAAGGCAUCAGCUACCACAUUAUCCUUGCCUGGGUGGUACUUGAUUUCACACUCAUAAUCGUUUAGUAGCUCAACCCAUCUUCAUUGCCUCAUGUUCAACUCUUUUAUAUUUAGGAUGUGUUGGAGGAUCUUGUGGUCUGUGAAAAUGUGCACUUUGUACCAUAAAGGUAGUGCCUCCAAAUUUUCAAAGCGAACAUCACAGCUCCUAAUUCCAGAUCAUGGGUUGUAUAAUUAACCUCAUGUGUCUUUAGUGUUGGAUUAGGUGUCUAAGCCCAUAACUAUUAUUGGUAUGUAUUCGACCCGAGAGUAGCAUGGUCCAUUUGGGUUGCAUAUCAUCAGGACAAUUUGUUAGGACGUACUUUUGAGAGAAGGUUAUUUAUGGUUUAUUAAUAUAUUAUAAUUAAUAAUAUAUUAAUAUGAAAUCAUAUGUUUUAAUAUGUAUUGAUCAAGAAUUAAUUUGGAGUUAAUUUAGUGGGCGAAAGAGACUAAUUAAAUCUAUGGGUACUAAUUAUGAUAAUUAGUUAUAUUUUGAUGUGUUUGGCUUAGGAUCCAUGUUGGACCAAGUUUAUGCAUAGAUACAUAAAGAUUUGGGCCACAUGAACCAUGGAUCAUAAAACCCAUGGGUAUGGAUUUGGGUUAUAUCCAUGACACUAUAAAUCCCACAUAUAAAUAGAUACUUCAUUGCCCAAAAUCGCCAUGUAUCUUUUUAGAGUUCAUGGUGUCUUUUGUGUGCAUGGAAUUCUCUCUCAAGUUCAUCCUUUGUCCAUGGUGUGUUUUGAUUCCAUUUGAGGCUUCCACACUAUUGGUGCUAAGCUCUUUAAGGCCAAAUACACCAAGAAUUCAAGCUCCAUCAAAAGGUAUGUCAUGCUAACUAGUAUAUUAUAUUUUUAUGUUAAAUGCAUGCUAGUUGUAAGAUUAAUACCUUGGAACCGAUUUGCAUGUAUAAUUAGUGAAAACAUAGAUCCAAGGUAUUUAGGGUUUUAUGUGCACCAUAGGAUGUUGUAUUAUACCAGAACCCAACAGUGGUAUCAGAGCCAUGGGUUGUUUUCAAUUAUACAUGAUGCAAGUUGCUGGAAAAAAAACCUGAAAAAAAUCGAGUUUUUUGCUGUCGGGACAGCAGACUCGACGAGUCCAGUGAUGGACUCGACAAGUCCAUGAACAAAUUCAUCCAACUCGUCGAGUUGGUUCCUGCACUCGACGAGUUGGACCCCCUGACAGCUUAUCUUCGAGUCUUUUUUGGCCUGUUUUGGAUUAGAAUCAUUAUCGCAAAGUAUUUUUGUUCAUAAAAUUUGUUUUUUUAUAUUAUGCUAAUGUUUAUUCUCAUCUAAAUAAAGGAUAAUAACCAAUGUUUCAAUAGGAAAAAUUAUGAGAUAGUUGUUUUCAAUCCCAAUUAAUCUAUAAGUUAUUUAUAAUAUGUGUUUUUGUAACUUGUCCUCAAGUUACAUGAAAAGUCACAUUUAUGAAUUUUAAAACGAACAAAAAUUUCCAUAACUUAUGAAAAAAUUAAGAGUCACAUUUUUUAAUGCUUUUAAAGUCUUCCAUAACUUGUCUACAAGUUUUCUUGAAGGGUUUUUUCCAUUACACCACUUUAAAAUUCAUAAGUUAUGAAAACCAUAAUUUUUUGAAUUGUUCAAAACUUGUCCUCAAAUUUUGGAAUUUGUAAAGUCAAACCCCAUAUACACUUUAAUUCCAAACCCAUGAAUUUUAAAAGUUAAAGUUCAAACUUUAUGGACUUCAUUAAAUUAAUUAAAGUGUCUAAUUAAAAGAGUUAAUAAUUCCAUAAAGGCAUGGUUUAAGUUUAAUUAAAUUAAGAGUAUAGUUUAAUUAAUAGAUUAAACCACCAAGUAUUUUAAAUGUUUAAAACACACUCUUAUACUAUUAUAAUAUUAAUAUAAAUAUAUGUAUAAAAACAAAGUCAGUCUUACCAUUAGUAGGCCUCAUUCACGAAGUCGGUCUAUAAGGGGGGUAUAAGGUUACUGCCUAUAAAAUGGCAGUUUAAUGGGUGUCCACUCUCACCCACCGCUUCCUUGACCGGUGGAGAGUCGUUAGCCGAACGGGUAGGACAAGGAAUAUAAUUCUCCCUUCAUCAAAAGAAUUAAUGAUAAAUACUAAGUAACUAAACCUUUUAUAAAUACCCAAUCUUAGUUACUUAGGAAAAAGUGAAUAAGGUGCUAAUCCAUGAAAUUACACUUUGCACUUUGUUUAAGUCGGUUAGUGGAGCGUGUGUGGUUAACCGGCACACUAACUCGUANGGAUAACAAAGGGUGACUUAAUGUUUAUCAUAGAUUGGUGGAGCGCGUGUGGGUAACCGACACAUCGAUUAGGUGAUAAUAUUAAGGGUACCAAGUGAAUUUGCAUGGUUAUUCACACCUUGUUUUGUGAUCCUCGGCAUCCCAGUCACAAAAUUUGAGAGGGCACAAUCGAGAUUGAAACAUGCCAUUGAAAAGUUCAAUGAAUCUCAAAAUAUCUAGGAGUUUCAAAUCCAAUUAAAACCUAAUAAAUUAUUUCGUUUUUCAUGGUGAAAAUUGUUGAAUCGUCAUUCACCUACCUUCAAAUAUCUUAUAGCUUGGAUUACGGCAUCCCUCUUCCAAGUUAUAAAAUAUUGUGUUGGGUCCUAGCCUUAAUAUUUCAUAUUGGGUGUUAUAUUAAGGACUUAAAAGUCAACUAACUUGAAUGUCUCCCAUUUUAGAUGUCUAGUUUAGAUAUCUAUGAUCUAUCCAAAUCUCUUGGAAUUUCACUUCCUCCUCCUCCUCCAAUUAUUCUCCCUGACCCACAAGUUCAAGGUCACUCAAGCCCUAUUGGCAAACAAGAUCUAUGUGUGAUCACAUCUUGGAGAUGAAGUCACAUAAUCACAAGCCGGGAGAGUUGGGUGUCAAAGUCUUGAGAAAGUUGGAUGUUCAAUCACUUUUGAAGUCACAUUGUGAGCUCUUUAGGGACUGCUAUGUGACAGACCAUGACUUGACCCUUAAUGAUCUUACCAAUUUGCUUGGGGUUGCUGAAUCAGAAAUGAUUUGAGGACUAGUAAAGCGAAUUUCAUUUGAAGAUCAACUUCCCAAACCUUCUAUUGCCAAAGGAUAAGGCAUUGGUUGCGAAACUGCCUAAUUUACCUGAACAAUCAUAAGGUUCGUAAAGUCAAAGAGUUUGACUCUACUUCGGGUAAAGUGCACUAUCUAAUUCUAUUAAGUUCCUAUUUGAGAUUCUUAUACAUGGUGUGACCAGAUCACAUUUUAAUGUUUUGUAGAAUCGAAGAUAGGAAGCUUAAAGGAAGUAUAUGCUGAUUCUGAUCGCGAUGAUGGAUUUCGAUCGCACGGUUCGGUGAUCAGAAUUGUGAGUUGUUGCUUAAGAGUUAUGAUAUAUUUCUUAGGGAUACAUAACAACAAAUUUUUCAUAUGCUAUUGCAUUGUCAGGAUACGUUUUUCCGCAAGUUUUAAAUAAAAGAUAAGUUUUUAUUUUAUUUAUUUUAAAUAUCCUUACAAUGGCAUUUGUGAAAAAUGGUUUUUUAUAUGGUUCCAUUGAUAGCAAUAUUGGAAAAUGGAUUUGAUUCUUUCGGAUGUGGUAGUGUCAUAAUUUACCAAAUAAGGAAAGAUUCUCAUCACCCAAGUUUCAAUUGGACCGAAACUUGGAAUCAUACAAGUUGUAUGAUGAAUGAGAAUUUUCAUCAUUGGAAAAUUAAGUCAAGUGAAAGGACUAAGGGAUUGAGUACACAUUCGUGUACACAUGUCAAGUCCACCACAAAGAUCGACAAGACUAUUCAUCAUGAUUUACUAAAGUUUAGUAAAUAUGGUUAUACUUACAAGUUUAAGUAUAAUUCUGAAACAUUGGAAAAUAUUCAAUGUAUGGCAGAACGAAUGAGAAGAAUCAAAUUAGGCAGAAACAUAAAAGUUUCUCAAAUCUGAAAAUAUGGGAGAGUACUUUAGUAUCAUGUUUUAUGAUCAUCUUAAUGAUUAAGAUACCAUAUCGCAAAUGAUCCUCUAAGGACAUCUUAGUGAUUUCUUAUGGCUAAGAAGAGGACUCAUGAAUUGUUGGAAUGGUUAAAUCAAGAAGAUUAGUCAUACUUCAUUCCAAAAGCAAAGUCUUAGAGUCAUACUCCAAGAUUGUAAUUCGAGUGACACAUCUUAAAAGACGUUUAUUAAGACUAGUCAAAUGUAAGAGUAAAAUGUUUUCUACUCUUGUACAUUUGAAAUUGGUAAGUUGUGAUGUUUUGGAUAAACAGAGACCAACUUAGGCUAAUUGCGUGAAGUGUUAGUCUUGAUAAGAAUCCGCACUAUCCCUGGAAUAUUUUUUGUGUCAAGGAAUGGUUCUUGACAAGAGAGUCUUAUAUGUCAAGAGGCCAGUGGGAGUCUUAAAGGUCUUAAAAGUUUCAAGAACUAAUUAAGGAUAAAACCUAUAGUUCUUCACUAGCACACGACUUGAGGUUUAUAAACUAUCAUGACAUUUGUAUGACCAUAACUACUUGGAAGCAAUGGCAGGCCCUUAGGCUGCUAGGUGGCAAGAAGUUAAGACUGCACAAGUUCAAUCCAUAUGAAUUUGGAAGUGUAACUAACCUUGUCUUGUGAUUAUGGUUUUGACAAAAUUCAUAUGGAUAGGAACUCAUACACCAUAAAAUCUAAGUGUCAUAAGGUUUCUCUCUGAUUCAUGAAAACGAUGGUGAGCAAACGCUUUCACUAAGUAGAUUUUUAGUAGAUAGCAAUUGUGACAUUUGCCUUCUCAAAUUCGUUAGUGGAGCGUGUGUGGGUAACCGAGACACUAACAUAGACUUGUGAGAAAUGGAAAAGGUCUAAGCAAUUGAGACUAUGAUUACGGUAUCCCUUUUAAUAGUUCUAUAAAAUUGUUUAGACACACAUGUGAGCUAUCUAAGGAAUUGUGUAUGAUUUUGAUAAAGUUUUAUCGAAGCACCUUGUAUCAGAAAUCUGAACUUUGGUAAGAAAGUCAAUAAAGUAUUGAUUUCUAGAAGUCCAGCUGUUUUCUGAGUACAUUUUAAAGCUAGUGGGAGCAUAAGUGUUACGCUAAUAAUCAUCAUGUUAGUAAGAACGUGAUUAUUAUGUUAAGUGUUAAUUAUAGAAAACAAAAGGGUUUCAAUUGGGAAGAGUUGUUUUUCUAUAAUUAAGGGAGAGGAAAUUAUACUUCAUUUCAAUUCUAAAAGCUUAGAUUGUGAUUUUCACCAUCUAGUCNNNNNNNNNNNNNNNNNNNNNNNNNNNNNNNNAUUUUCUGUUGGGAUGGUUCAACAUAAGGAAAUUCUAUAUAUAUUGCAUUUUCAAAAUUCGAUUAUGAUUACGGCAUCCCUCUUCGUAGUCAAAUUUUGAGAACAUGGAAAAUAAAAAAUAUUGUAGCAAAAGAUUGGUCUAGUAUCAUGUCUUUAUGUGAGACAUCAUGAAUCGUGUCACAUAUGCUUCGGAGAUAGGAUCGAUUGCAUGUGCUAUAAUAUUUAUCCUUUCUAUAUUUUCUGAAUGCCUAACGCAUUAAGAUCUAGAAUUGGAUAUGACUAAAAUGAUUAAACAAUUGUCGAGGACAAUCUAAGGUUUACCAAAGAUUAGUUGCUCAGGGAUAGUUGGAAGUAUAGUGUUAAUUUUUGGAAAGGACCAUAAUUGACAUAUUCUGAAAAGAGGCAACUCUUGUUCAGAAGUGACAGUCAAAAUGAGAAUAUGGAAAUAUUCCCAAAGGGAGAAGUUGUUCAUUCAAUAUGUGUAAGAUUAGGAAACUUAACGUAAGAAGGUUGUUCAAAGCAAUGUACUUUGAAUUUGAGAUUUUGGUUCCAUGGAAUGCUCUCCAUUGGGAUACUCUGUAAUGAUUGUUGACAAGUCGCUGUGACUUUGUGCAUAGUCAUUACGAGUGGAUCAAUGCAUAUAAGUUUAGAAUCUAACGAGAAGUUGUUCAUUCAAUAUGUGUAAGAUUAGGAAACUUAACGUAAGAAGGUUGUUCAAAGCAAUGUACUUUGAAUUUGAGAUUUUGGUUCCAUGGAAUGCUCUCCAUUGGGAUACUCUGUAAUGAUUGUUGACAAGUCGCUGUGACUUUGUGCAUAGUCAUUACGAGUGGAUCAAUGCAUAUAAGUUUAGAAUCUAACAAAUUUCGUUAAAUGGUAGGGAUUUGGAAUUCUUACAUUUAAGAUAAAGAUUUGGGAUUGUGAAAUGAGCAGCAUUGGAAUCAAGUUCAAUUGAUCUAUUUCACAAAGUAAAGAUAAUAGAUAAACAUAGUGUGCAUACUUGAUGUAUGGCAUGACUAGUGUUUACAAAACAUACUUUACAUGCUUGGAGCAUGGGACAACUAUUGUUUUAAUUCAAGUAUAAAGUUGAUUAUUUGAAACAUUAUACAAUGAAUGAUGAGUAAUCAAGAUGGUGUUUAAAUAAAAGGUGUUUUAUUUACUCUUAAAGGUGCUUGGGACCAUAGAGUUUUAGUAUUAUUUUAGUGUUUCACUUUGCAUGUUUUGACUUCCAGAAUAACUAGGUUAUUCUUUCCGAAUGACUAAGUUAUUCAAACCAUCCACAGUCGAUAAUAUGUUGGAAGUAGGUAUUAAGGGCAAGACUAUCAUGAAUCGGGUUUGUAGAUGUCCAUGGUAGUGGACAUAGUAAGAGUUACUACAACAUUCAUGAGUACUCCUGGAAUAGGGAUUCGAGUAUUGGAUCCAACCCACGCUCAUUUGAAUCACUUCAUGGAUUUUAUCACAAGUGAUCAUGAGACGAUAAUAUCGUAUAUUCUUCAAACCUAGAGAUAUGAGUUGUUACUAUGAGUUGGUUGUACAUUGAUUGCACGAAAACGCAUUUGGUAACUCGAUGUCAUAAAACGUGCCUUUGUGUAUGAUUCAACAAGUAGUAGAACAAUCCAUAUGAGUUGAAGUUUAUCCAUUCCUUUUACCUUCAAGAUAAAAGUGAUAUGUGUGGGCCCCUUGAUGAUUUGGUGAUGACAAACGUAAGUGCUUGGCUGGGCCUGGACUGAUUUGAUUUGUUCAAUCAGUCAGUUGUCAUAAAUCGGAAAUCGGGAAAAAAAAGAUGGACAGCGAGAAUGAUUAUAAUUCAUGUCUCAGUCCAUAUGAUAUCUAGAAUGGAGGAAUAUAUGAUCCCUUAUCUAAUGGACAUGUCUUUUGAUUUGUUCAUAGUUUGACAGCAGCUUUAAGAGCUACGAUUGCUAGUCGGGAUCUUGGAGUCAUACUUGAAUAAUUAUUUUAGACUUAUCCAAAUGGGAGACUGUUGGAUUAGGUGUCUAAGCCAAUAACUACUAUUAGUAUGUAUUCGACCCGAGAGUCGCAUGGUCCAUUUGUGUUGCAUAUCAUCAGGAGAAUUUGUUAGGAUGGACUUUUGAGAGAAGGUUAUUUAUGGUUUAUUAAUAUAUUAUAAGUAAUAAUAUAUUAAUAUGAAAUCAUAUGUUUUAAUUAGUAUUGAUCAAGAAUUAAUUUGGAAUUAAUUUAGUGGUCGAAAGAGACUAAUUAAAUCUAUGGGGACUAAUUAUGAUAAUUAGUUAUAUUUAUAUGUGUUGGGCUUAGGAUCCAUGUUGGACCAAGUUUAUGUAUGGAUACAUAAAGAGUUGGGCCACAUGAACCAUGGAUCAUAAAACCCAUGGGUAUGGAUUUGGGUUAUAUCCAUGACCCUAGAAAUCCCACAUAUAAAUAGAUACUUCUUUGCCCAAAAUCGCCACUUGUAUCUUUUUAGAGUUCAUGGUGUCUUUUGUGUGCAUGGAAUUCUCUCUCAAGUUCAUCCUUUGUCCAUGGUGUGUUGUGAUUCCAUUUGAGGCUUCCACACUAUUGGGGCUAAGNNNNNNNNNNNNNNNNNNNNNNNNNNNNNNNNNNNNNNNNNNNNNNNNNNNNNAUCAUCUUCUCAGUUCCGAGAGACCUUGAAAGAGCUACGAUUGCCGGUCGGUUCCUGAAGUACUAGAGAUAUAGUUAUUAGACUUAUCCAAGUGGGAGACUGUUGGAUAAGGUGUCUAAGUCCAUAACUAUUUCGGGCUUGUACUUGACCCGACCCGGCAUGGUCCAUUUGGGUUGCAUGGCACCAUGCAAUUGGAUAGACUAAAUGAGAGGAAUAAUACUUGGAGAUUAUUAAUAUAAUAUAAGUUCUAAUAUAUUAAUAAUUUUAUUUGAUUAUUUGAUCAAAGAAUUAAUUUGGAAUUAAUUAAGUGAUCAAAAGAUAACUAAUUAAAUAUAUGGGUUGAUUAUGUAAAUCAUCCAUAUCUUGUAUAGUGGGCUAAGAGGCUCCAUGGAUUAUCAAGUUGGGUUCUACCCAUAGGAUGCUCCAUGGAUGCUCCAUGGGAGUUACAAACCCAUGGGUCAUGGAAAUGAAGAGUCAUGACACAUUAGGGUUUACAUGGUGUAACCCUAGAUGUGCCAACACUAUAUAAGAGUCCCAUUCUCCACAAAAUUGGCUACACAAGUUGAACACUAAGAAACUAGAGGGCUUGGCCGAUUUUGAGAAGUGUGUGUUAUCUCAAGAGUCUUUCCAAGAGCAUUUGGUGUUGUGUGAAGCAUUUGAGGCAUCACACUUGGGGUGCUAGGCUCACAAGGUUUCAAGGAACACAAGCAACAACAAGGUAAGUUAUUCUAUCUAUGAUUCAAGUUAAAAUUGUUCCCCAUGUAUGCUAGAUAGGAAUAUAACCUUGGAAUUCAACUUUGCAUGAUAAUUAGACAAACAUAGAUCCAAGGUUAUUAGGGUUGCAUGUACACUUAGGAAGUGUUAGAAUGCUCAAAACCCAUCAGUGGUAUCAGAGCCUAGGCUUGUUUGUUUGUUAUUUGUGCUUAAAAGUUGAAGAAAGUCGAAAAUCUUGCUGUCUGACUGAUGGACUCGGCGAGUCCAUGGGGAGGACUCGUCGAGUUCAUGUGUAUCUUCAACCUACUCGGCGAGUAGGUUUAUGCACUCGGCGAGUAGGGUCGACAGAGUGCAGAUUUUCGACUUGAGUUGCUGGAAAUGGAUUAGAAACAUUACCCUAAAAUGUUUUGGUACUUGAAAACUUGUUUUAGAAGGUGUAAUGUCUUUUCUAACUCAUUUACAACAACUAGUUAUCAAAAUUACAAAGAUUAAAUGUGAUUUUGAUUCUUGAAAGUGUUCAUAUUCAUAUUCUUGUUCUUAUGAUGUUUAGAUGAUCAUAGGAAGUAUUUGUAACCUAUGUGGUAGUUUAAUUCUUGAUCAUAAUGUGUUUUAAUGGAGACAAUAACUUGUCCUCAAGUUAUGGAAAACCAAAAGUCACUUGGGUUAAAAACCAUUAAAAGAACACAAGUGUUAUAAAAAUGAAGAGUCUUCAUUUUAUUACUCUAAUAAACUCAUAAGUUACAAGAAAUGAAAAGUUUUGGAAGUUUACAAAACUUGCCCUCAAGUUUUGGAACAAGUAAAGUCAUGUUAAAAACUUUAGUUCCAACACUUAGAAUCUUAAAAGUUAAAAUUCAAUCCUUAUACUUAUAUUAUUAUGACGUAAUAAUUAUAUAUAUAUUUAUAAGAACAAAGUCGUCUUACCGCUAGUACGCCUCAUUCACGAAGUCGGUCAAUAAGGUGGGUAUAAGGUUGUUGCCUAUAAAAUGGCAACUUAAUGGGUGUCCACUCUCACCCACCGCUUGCUUGACCGGUGGAGGUUUGUUAGCCGAACGGGUAAGACAAGGACUUAUAAAUUCUCAUUAUAAGUAUGAUGAAUAUUAUAAAGUAACUAAAUGUUUUAUUAAAUUCCCAAUCUUAGUUACUUUAGGAAAAAUGUGAAUAAGGUGCUAAUCCAUGAAAUUACACUUUACACUUUGUUUAAGUCGUUGGUGGAGCGUGUGUGGUUAACCGGCACACUAACUUGGACUUAACAAGGUAGGUAAAGGGUGACUUAAAGUUUAUUAUAGUAUCGGUGGAGCGUGUGUGGUUUACCGGCACAUCGAUUGAGUGAUAAACUUUAAGGGUACCAAGUGAUUUGCAUGGUUACUUCACACCUCGUUUUGUGAUCCUCGGUAUCCCAGUCACAAAACUUGGAGGGCACACUCGAGAUUGAAACAUGCCUUUGAAAAGUUCAUUGAAUCUCAAAGAAUCUAGGAAUUUCUAAGAACCAUUCAAAAACCUAAU